UUUUUUUUUUUUAGUGAUUGGAGGGUGCGUUCUUGUAAAAAAUAGCGCGAGGGGAAGGGAAAACGCAAGGAAGACGCGUGGGAACCGAGAAACGGCGGGCACCGGCCGCAAAAUUCGGGAUUGGGAGCGCCCAGCGCCGGCGAAAAUCUGGCUCAGAAUGGCGCUGGUUUUGGGUGCGCGUAAAAAUUGGGCAAGCAAUUGGGCUACUGUUGGAGAUCACAGUUUCGUGCCCAAAAAUAAUUAUUGGGAGUAUUUUUUGGACACUCUAUGCUCUAUGAAAACAUCGCUCGCCAUGUCGCGAGCAACAAACAAAAGCCAAGAAUUUGACCACCAGGCAGCGUCGUGGUCGGCUGGUUGCGUCGGCGUUCCAGGUCUCCACUCUCAACUGGUACCUGUAGGCUGCAGGUCUCCCUCUCCUGUCUUCCACCACCUCUUGCACAGUUUGCACUUGCUGUGAGCGGGUGCGAGACUGCGGGCGGCAUGGACGGACCGAGGGGUCCCGCGCCUGGGCGUGGGCGGACGGCGCCGCACGGAUGGGCAGGCGAUUCCGGGUCCGGGCAGGGCUCCGGCCCCGACGGCUCUUGGAGUUGCGGCUGGGGAUGGGCCUCGGGCCCCGGAGGUGGCUGGAGCUACAGCCACGGCUCCGCGCAGGGCCCCCGCGGCGCUGCAGACGGCGCCGCGUACGGGUUCGGCUACGGCGGCGGCGGUGGCGGUGGAGGAGGAAGCGGGCGUGGGGGGUUCGGGUUCAGCUUCGACGGCCCCGGCGGCGCGGGCGGCUUCAGCUGGGGUGCCGGUGGCGGGGCGUUUGGGACCGGAGGUGAUCACACGGGUCACGGCGGCUGGAGAGCGCGCGGUGGGUUCGGCGGCGGCGGGAGGCAGCUGCGACCACCGCCGCAGUGUAUUUCUUACUACUAAUAAUACGCUAGUACACCUGCAUGCAUUCCUGGCUCUAUUGCGUAGAGAUACUGGUUCCAGCAUCUCUGGUUUCAUGCUGUGUCUGUAAAGACUAACAGCAAAGCAAGAACACCUUUCCUUUAGUCUGUAUAUAUUUUGUUGGCAAUACUUGGUAUAUAUACGCAGCGAGUUACUGAAACUCUAUACAGAAGAAUCAACAUAGAACAUAUGCUUAUUCUCUUUUCCUUUUCUUUUUCCGGAGGUACAAUCAUAGCCCGGUAAAAACGGAAGAAUCAACAUAGAAAAUACGCUUAUUCUCUUUUUUUUUUCUUUUUCUGGAGGCACGUGAAUCAUAGCCCGGUAAAAACGACUGCAACUCAGGUUCCAAGCUGUUGCAGAUGCCUAGGAAAAGAAGUUCCUAGAAUAUAGAAUAACUCGUACCAUUUUGUAGAAGAUAGAGGAACCGCAACUCUACAAGGGAGAAGCUCUUGUCAUUUCAAUAACAGCGUGCGAUCAAAAUCAUCUCCGGAGCUACUCUGGUUCUCAAACACAUAACCUCAGGUGCCCAGGUCCAACAGCAUACAAAUCAUAGAGGCCUAGAGCAUUCAGGUCGCAGAGGAAAACCUGAGCCGCAGUCUUCAAUGGAAAGGGGAUGGUUCAGAGAAACACACCCUCUGAAGUAAAAAACUUUAACAUUCAGAAGUACUCAUUGUAAAGCGCGAGGACCAUGCCGUCCACCCCCCGCUCCCACCGCCACCGCCGCCGCCGCCCCGCCCCCAGUCGGCGAGAGCAGCACAACCCUCCUCACCGCGCAUCCUACGCCGCAGCAGCAGCCCUAGCUACCAAGCACCCCACCCGUCACGCCGCGCACCCUCUCCCCCUCGGAGAGAUUCUUCUCUGACUCCUCGCCACCACCGCCCUGGCGCGGCCGGCCGGCGACCAUUGACGACAAGUUCGUGCCGAAAACUCUAGAUCCACGGGCCACAACACCGGAUCUACAACCUGUGCUGAAGGAUCUUCCCCCUGCCAUGCCGAUUUCGCGGAUCUCAUACGCCGAAGCUGUCAGGCGGGGAGGCUUCAAUGUCCAUCCCGGCUCAGUGGCGCAGCGCCAUCAAGAAGCCAAGCGCGCCUCUGACCCCGAGAGAAGCACUCACUCCAGCGAUAGGACAAGGCCGCAGCGCAUUAACUCCGCUGCCGCGGCAAGGACGGGCCGUGCCGGGGCCCUGCGCCAAGCGCCUGCAAGCCACGCCGCUCAAGCCCUGCCUCCGCUGUCUACAGUGCGCCAAGAAUGGGUGCUAGUGACGUGCCGCAGAGCGCAUUCACAUUGAGCACCGCCCAAGCAAUUCCGACAAGACGGUGGACAUAGCGGCGGAAAUGACCAGCGCCGCAGGGAGACUUCAAGAAGGCCAACUACCAGGGCUUUGUGCGUCUUCAUCCAAGAAGACUGCCAGAUGCUGCUUCAAAUGUCUCGCCUAGACCAUUGCGCGGCCGCAUGCCAUGACCCACAGGUGUCACCACUCCGGCCACAGACAGCGCCAUUGCAAGGCUCCACGGCCCUCCGCCGCACCGCGAACCUCUGCCGCCGCCUACCACCGCCCGGCAGCAUGGAAGCGCCCACUGCCUCGUCAGUUGAACCACCAGCACCCUCCACCACCGCAUUCCCUGCCACUGCUUUCCCCACACUGCCACUGUCCAAGCCACCAACACCUCCUUAGGAAUCUUGCGCCCUCAUCCUGUAGGCGCUCCACCUGCCACCAGAUGCUGGAGCGCGGGACAUCCCUGACCUCAUCACUCGAGAGCUCCACCUGCAACCAGGGAAGGUCUCUGUCACGCUUCACCAGCCGGAGCCCUACCUGAUUCGCUUUGAGCAUGCCGCCGACGCGGCUGAGGUGCGUCGCCACGGGCGCUUCACCGGAGGAGGCAUGAACAUCUGCCUCCAUACCUAGCGCAGCCUCACGCAUGCUUUCGGCUUCCGCAUCUUCUACAAAGUGCGCCUCUGUCUCGACGGCAUCCUGUCUCAUGCCUGGACGCCGAAGAUCGUCGAGAGGGUCGUUGGCCACAAAUGUGCACUACAGUGCAUCAUCACCGACCUCAUCCAACUGGCGGACUCAAGGCACAUCGGGCUGUGGGCGUGGACGGCGGACCCGAGCGAGAUACCCAAGAAAGUGUGGCUCGCCUUCACGCACAAGCCGGCGAACAAAUCCUCGGCUUUCUUCGUGUCGGCCGAGCAAACGCCGGAGUCAUGGCAGUAGGGCGCCUGCUACGAGGUCUUUAUCCACAUGUCGCUGCUCGAGGACUACACGGCGGCCGCGCGCAACCUCCAAGAGGUGGUCGAUAACCCAGCGAGUAUCACUCCGAUAUGCUGGAGAUACGAGUGGCGCUACGACCUUGUGGACGGCGCGCUGCCGGAUGCCCGUUCGUGCCUCCCAACCCACCUGCCUCAGCCGCCACGGGAGCCAGAGGGGCGGGAUGACGGUGAUGGCCGCUGGGAGAACGGCGGUCAUGGGUGUGAACGGCGCACCAACGACAACCACGGCGCCAGGUGUGACGCUCGUGGUCCUGACGAUGCGGGGGACGGGGAGCGCAAUCGUGGACUACACGUGCGUCGUGGCCCAAAGGACGACCGCAAGCAACGAGCGACCCGGAGCAAUUGCAAUGAUUAAGGCUUCCUCUUGCCGCCACGUCGGGGAGACGACGACGACGGCCACGACUACGAGCACCCGGGACACGGGCGCAAGUAUGGUGACACGUACUGGGGCAGCUCGGAGCUAGUUCGCUGGGACCACACCAGGUCCCCCCCUCCGCACCGCGGCACGGGAGACGUCACGACAUGAGCGAAGAGGGGCUGAGCAACAUGCCUCUUGCUCAGCUGCAAGCCCUCUUCGUGGCCUAGGCAAACGCCUUGAAGACCUACAUGCAAGGAUAGGUAUUCACCAUGCCUCUGGCUACAUCUAACAUCGUGGAUUUGGAUGCCAGGAAGAACAGUUGCCUCAUCACUACCUAUGACUAAUCCGCAAGGCCUCCUGGCUUGCUGACCGCCUGGGCAUUGCAGACGCCAACGGGGGGAACCAAGCCUGAUCCGAACCAGUCCCGGUGUUGCAUGCCUUCAACACGCUACGAGCGGCGCUACUCUCGGCACCUCCGCCUUCGACGGUCGCUGACGUCGACCAGGCACUGGACAUGCUGUUUCUGGGCACCAACCGAGUCUCACCAACAGGCUCGGCGGCGACCCGCUACAACCAGGCAGGCCAGGGAGGGUGCUGCAUUGAUUCAGGGGCCACCUGUCCAUAGCGGCGGCCUGCACCGAAGCAAGUGAAGAAGCACACGUACAAGGCAGCGUGACCGGUGUGCUGGGAGAGGCAGCCCAUGCAGCUGGCGACCUUAGCUGCAUGGCCAACGAUGGCACCAAGAUGGGCCACAUGGACGUGCCUAGCCUGGCCGUGAAUGGGGAAGCCAGUGAGGCAGCCCAGGUUGUGCUAAUGGUCCAACAAGCGCUGGCAGCCCAGCAUGACGACGGGGAGCAACUCGUGGGCCAAAACGCACCCACGGGCCAGCUGGCUGGUGUGGCCUGCGAUGGGGGCGCGCACACGGGCUAGUUGCCGGGUGCGGCCCUCGACGGGGGCGCGCCCACGGGCUAGCUGCUGGGUGUGGCCCACUAUGGGCCACAAGCCAUGCAGGUUGCUGCCUCAGAAGUGCAUGUCCCAGACACCGGCCCAGGUGGAUCGCUGCACACGCCCAGCGUUGACGACCUGUUCCUGACUCCUGCACUGCCAGUUGUACAGCAGCAACCGGCACGACGCACGCGCCAACGCCACACCUUCGACAUGAAUGAGGUGCGGCGGAGUGCGCGACUGGGCAAGAAACCGGCUAUGCUGGCCAUAAAACGAGCCCAGCAGAACCUUUGGAGGAAGCUUGGCGUCGGCGAUGACAAAAUGGCGCCAAUUAAGCAAGUUCUGCAAUACUUCAUCAGCAUGUUCCAGGAGGCCCUACCAGAGUUCGUCAUAGCGGCCAUGACCGCCCUCUUCGAUCUCGACGAUGAUGCAACAGAAUAAAUGAAUGAUGCACUUCUAUAGAUGGUGGGCGUCGUUGUAGAAGAACUUUAUCAGGAGCGGCACAUGGCACCAUGAUGACCCAGACGAAGCACACUUCCUAUGCAUUUUACCCCCGCAUUAUGUACCGCUACUUUUAUGUAUCAUCAGUACCUCACCCUACUGGCUGCGACCUUCGGUCCAAACUCGUGAACUAUAAACUUUGCCGUGCUAGCCAUGACCUUCAGGCACUGCACUUGACGAUCCCCGAGACAAACAGCGUCAACACGCGCCACUCGACGACCUCCAUGAUCUACAUGAUAGACAGCGUCACAACGCGCUACUUCACCCCACGAUUCGUGACACCUGAGCAAGCGCAUGAAACUACACCCAGAUGAUCGGCAACUUUGAAAUAAUGUGCUGGAAUGUGAGAGGUCUCAAUGCUCCGGCUAGAUGUCUAAUGGUCCGCGAAACUAUUGCAACGACAACAUGUCACAUAGCAUGCCUACAGGAAAUGAAACUACAAAACAUCGAUGCAACUCUAGCUAACUUCUUGGGAGGACACCGCCUGAACCAAUUCACAUAAAAACCGGCUCUAGGCACAAAGGGAGGAAUCCUCAUCCUCUGGGAUGACAAGGUAAUUGACAUGCAAGACGUCCAAAUUGGACGUUUCACCAUUUUGGCAACAACGGUAGUAAAAUACAGCAACACACCCUUUCGACUCACGACAGUGUACGUCCCGUCAUGACAUGCUCCAAAACCUGCUUUCCUGCGACACCUACGAGCUAUGAAACCGGACGACGACACCAGAUGGCUUGUCCUGGGGGAUUUCAACCUAAUCUACAGCGCGAGAGAUAAAAAUAAUAGAAAUCUAAAUCGGCGAUUGAUGGGGAGUUUCAGAAAUGCACUCAAUUACUGUGGCCUAAAAGAGAUACAUUUUUAGAUGAGGAGGUUCACCUGGAGUAACGCCAGGCAUCGACCAAACAUUGACACGGCUCGACCGAGUUUUCUGCAAUGAGAGCUGGGAUCUAUACUUCGAUGAUCAUGUCCUACACGCGCUCUCCUCCUCACACUUAGACCACUGCCCCCUGCUAUUAGCACAACAAUAUGGGCCUAGAAGGCCAAUGCCCUUCAAAUUUGAAAAUUUCUGUACACGCCUCCCGGGCUUCUACGUAGUGGUCACCCGGGAAUGGUCCAAGCCGACGAACCACACUGAGCCUUUCCACAGAUUGGGGUACAAACUGUACACCACGGCCCGUGCGCCACGAUCCUGGAGCAUAUCAUUCAUCUCGGAUGCCAAACUGAACCUACACAUGGCCCAAGAGGUCAUCCUGCGCCUCGAUACGGUUGAGGAGACAAGAGCGUUAACAGAUGCAGAACACUCCUUGCGUCACAAGCUUAAAAGAAGGCUUUUGGGAUGGGCAGCUAUUGAAAAAGGAAGGAAAAAACAAUGUUCCAGAAUAAACUACCUACGCGAGGGUGACGCAAUACAAAGUUCUUUCACCUAAAGGUGAACGCCAGGAGAAGGAAAAACUUCAUCCAGAGGGUUAAAGAAAGAAAGUGUAUGGGGAAUAACCCACGAGGACAAGUAGAGGGUAAUUCAAGAUCACUUCGACAACAUGAUGUGCGCACCGCAGAAUCAAAACAAAGACCUAAACUGGGAGGUAAUAGAAUUUCCAGAGGUGGACUUAGGCGACAUUGACAGCCCCUUCUCAGAGGAAGAAAUACUACAAGCAAUUGCAGACCUGCCAAAGAACAAGGCGCUAGGACCGGACGGCUUCACUGGUCUAUUCUUCAAAUCAUGCUGGCACAUAAUCAAAGGCGAUGUCAAAGCGGCCAUUAACGCCUUCCACAACAUCCAUUGCAAAGACCUCAAUCUUGUCAACACAGCUAACGUAGUACUAAUCCCCCAAAAGGAAGGUGCCGAAAGCAUCCAAGACUUUAGACCAAUAAGCCUCAUACACGCGAUCGCCAAGAUCAUCAACAUAAUCCUAGCGCUACGCCUAGCGCCUUUUAUGGAAGCGCUAAUAUCGCCAUGCUAGAGUGCCUUUAUAAAAGGAAGGAGCCUCCACGACAACUUCUUGUACUGUUAAUGGCAUGUCGAUUCCACAGGAACGAAACACCUGCACUGUUAAUGAAGCUGGAUAUCUCAAAGGCCUUUGACUCGGUGCGUUGGGAUUACCUACUAUCACUGGUGCAGCGCAGAGGCUUCCCCACAAGAUGGCGGGACUGGAUUGUGACAAUGCUAGCCACAUCAACCUCAAAAAUUCUACUAAACGGCUUCCCGUCUGACCUGAUUGCGCACGGACGUGGCCUACGACAAGGAGACCCAUUGUCCCCUUUUCUCUUCAUCCUCACGAUCGACCCGCUAUACCAGCUGAUACACAAAGCAACGGACAUGGGACUACUGAGCAAGCUGGGAGUGCGAGUAGCACGCACCCAUAUCUCAAUGUACGCUGAUGACACAGUCAUCUUCAUAAAGCCAACACCUGCGGACAUCGCUAACACCGCAAAAAUGUUGCGCCUUUUCGGAGAGGCAACUGGACCAAAAACAAACCUUCAAAAGACAAUCGUGGCUCCCAUUAGCUGUGAGAGUGUUGAUAUGGAGGAAGUCCUAUCAGAACUGCUGUAACUCGAACAGUCUUCCUAAUAAGAUACCUCGGACUCCCUCUAGAGAUAAGAUGACUAAAGAAACUCGACUUUCAACCUCUGAUUGACAAAGCAACAAACAAGCUGUCAGGAUGGCACGGCCGCAAACUCAGCCAAGUAGGACGAGCUUGCCUCACCAAAGCGGUACUAACAGCACAACCGCUAUACCUACUAAGAGUAAUCAAAACGCCAAAUAAAGUACUUGAGGACCUCGACAAAAUAAGGAAAAGAUUUCUGUGGGCAGGAGACAAAGCACUCACCGGUGGGAAAUGCAAGAUAAAUUGGGUCAAGAGUUUCCUACCGAAAGUAAAUGGAGGGCUAGGUGUGCUUAAUCUUCACAAGUUCGCAAGAGCACUAAGACGAUGGCUUUGGCACGAGUGGGAGUCACCGCAAAAAACGUGGAUUGCAAUGGAGACACCAUGUGAUGACACGGAUCGCCUUUUGUUUGUGGCAUGCACAAGCAUCACAAUGGGGAACGGGCAGAAGACGAGCUUCUGGCACUCGGGCUGGGUGCAAGGCAUGAGACCAAAGGACAUUGCGCCAAACAUCUAUGGAUCUCCAAAGGGAAAAAAAGAUGUCAGGCGGAGGUCAUACAGGGGAACAAUUGGAUCAGAGACAUAAACAUACACGCCGGAGUAACAACAAUGCACCUGCAAGAAUUCACGGUGCUUUGGCGACUAACUACAGAGAUCCAACUGCAAUUGCAACAGGAGGACAUCAUUUGUUGGAAAUUUACGUCGAGUGGGAAGUACUCAGUGGCCUCGGCAUACAAAGCACAGUUCUUUGGAUCUACCAAAGCACCGCAUAACAAAACACUUUGGCGCUGCUGGAUGCCGCCGAAGUGCAAAUUCUUUGCGUGGCUGAUAUUACAAAACCGAGUGUGGUCAGCUGAUCGGCUCGCAUGUAGGGGAUGGCCACACUCCCCUACAUGCCCCUUAUGCAGAUGCCAAGAAGAGGCAGCACAUCAACUACUGGUCGAAUGCAGAUUCACCAUGAGAAUUUGGAGCCUGGUGACGGAAUGGACGACACAGCCAAGCAUACGCAUCUCAGAAUGGCGACAAAGCAACUGAUGGGUGGAUAAACAUGACCACUAAAACAGAAGCCCUCAGGAAGGGAACGUGCUCCAUGGCACUGUUGAUCAUAUGGGAAAUUUGGAAGGAGCGGAAUAGGCGUGUAUUCAAUCAAGAAGAGAUGGCAGCCAUCACAUUGGUGGCAAAAAUCAAGGAAGAAGCGGGAGCGUGGAUAACAUCAGGGGCAAAGGACUUAGCGUUAUUUUUGUUUAAAGAAUAAUCGUGUAAUUACGUGUACCCUAACCGGUUAUCCGGCUGCAACUCUUUCUCUAUCAAUAAAAUAGUCACAAUCUCGUGCCCAUUUGAUCAAAGAAGUACUCAUUGUUUUCACAAGCAUUUAGCUCGGUCAAGUUAUCCAUGUUGAGUUGUUAUUUUCUUUGGCUAUUUAUUAUUCCUAAAAAUUGGUUCAGCAUUUUAUCUGUUCAAUUAUUGAGUUUGCAGUUGCAUUUGAACUUGAAAAGUGAAAACAAAGGUAACAAAUACACGUAUUCAAUCAUACCUUUGCAUUCAUGUUGUUAUCUGACAUCAUCGCACCUGCAUGUGAGCUUAUAACCGUAAAGCCCAAUGUGGCAAUGUGCAUAAGUCAUGCUUUCAGGACAAGUAAAACAUGCAAAUUCUGAACAAACUCAACAACAGUACGCCUUUUAAAACCAGUUACAGGGCAGACUCAUGUUGAGGGCAUUCUAGCCGAUCAUUGGCCAUUGAAGUGUCCAGAACUUGGCGGUUUUGGAUUUAAAAGUCAACUUGAAAUCCACUAUGAAUCUUUGCUGGUGCUUUGAAAUGAGCGAAGUUGCCAUCUUUCUAGAGUAAUAGGGUAUUAUCAUGACCUCAAAAGCCUAUUCUUGUGAUGUAGGGAUUUUCCAUGUUUAAAAAUGGUGCUCUAAGAAUUUCUAUAUACACGAAAAAUGCUCUAGGAAUAGGUAGCAUUAAUGUUUCAAAAUGCUCAAGGACCAUCCUAGUAGUUCCAAUAAAAUAUUGCAACUUGCGGAGGUCGGACAAAGUCGAGAAAAAACUGAAAUCAAAAGGGCAUAUACAAUAGUAUCGUGCUGGUGUUAUUAUUAAUCAAAAUGAAAUGUAGGGAACAGUUCAAUAGACAAUAAGUAAGGGCAAACGAAGUUAGAAUUUUCAAAUAAAAAUAGUGAAAUAUGUAACAUUUUCAUUUCAUAUUGCAAAUCAUCGUUUGACUGAGCUAUUGCAACAUUAUUGCCCAUGAUAAAAAAUUAUCGUGCCCUUGGACAACAGUCACAGCAUGACCACAGAUUAUCCUCAAAUGUAAACUGAUGGUAGUUAAGCAUAGAGCAACCGAUAAGGAAUGGAAAUUGUUGAAAAGGAAAUUCCACAUAAACUUAUUAGCAUGUAUACGUGCACAGCUGUCUUCAUAUUUAAAAGUUAGACAUACAAAAUAACAAAUAGGGUGGAAGAGAAGGAAAAACCUUACCCCAUUGGCAACCAAGCAUUGAUGUCUAUCAUACACUUGUAGCCAUAAAAUCAUCUAAAAGCAGACUCAAUGAAACAAGAUCAGCUAUGCCUAAAAAAAAGCACAUUCAAAAAUCUAAACUUAAUACAACCAGCCAUCACACUCCACUGAGCCACAAAGGCAUUUUUUCUUCUUGAUGUUACCAUUGGCAUCAUGUACCUGAUCUAUUUUAUAGUUGUAGUGGUAUGCUAGUUCUUGACGGGGUCGAAUAUCAUCGCAAGCAAAGAACAUGACAUGAGGCACACUGAUGUCUUCAUGAUCAUAGAGGACGUUUUGUGCAUAGAGGUUGGGGGUGCAACUAUGAUUGAUAAAUUUUGCGAAGUUCCCCAUCUCUGAAGCAUCAACAGCAAAUCCAGCUUCAUCAUCUUUACCCGGACCCUUCUGAAGUGAGGGUAUUGAUCUUGAUAGACCCUCCCAAAGAGAUUCGUCAUAAUAAUUGUGUCCAAUAGCAAAUAAGUACUCGUCAGUCGUCCUUUUUUGUGCCUCCUCAUCCUCCAACACUUCCCCUAUAUAUUCACAAACAAAGCUUCCAGAUGGUAUGAAGUCAAGAGUUCUCACACCCCAACCCAUUGAUUUUGUUUUGAAGACUUGCAGCCGAAACUUGAGGCCAUGUUGGCCAACUCUGUUGCGACAUGUAGGAGGGCACUUGCAAGAAGGCCCACACUCAUAAACUAGAGGUUUUGCUUCUACAAUGCGGCCUUUAUCAUUGAAAGGGAUUUCUCCACCAUUUUUCACAGCACAUGCACACUUUUUUGAGUCUGAGCAUCCGCCUACACAACCACAACCUGCUGGUGGAGUUGGCCGAUAGUUACGGGGAUAUUGAAGGCGUGAAAUGUAGCGAUAGGGCAUUGGGCACUCAUUGGAUAUUUUGUUAACAACAGAUACAGGGACCCUCUCCAAUCCUCGGGAUAGAUCUUUGAUGAUGACACUAUCAUUUGGUCCAGAUUUUCCUGAUUGCAGAAUUUCUUUGAUGUCAAUGUGUUUCUGUCCUUCAAUCCUUCUCAGUCGGAACAUAUAUACAUAACGGUCUCCAUGCUCUUUCUCCCUCCAGUACUUCUCAACAUGGUAUAAACCGCCAUAUAUAUAAGUAGGAAACUUCUUUUUUCCAUUAGCAGUGGUGAACCCAUGAAUAACACGGACUGGUGUAUUAGUGUCCAUGCUCUUUUUAAGUGCCAGGUUGGUACCCUCUAUCUUCUGAUUGACUGUAACUGCCACCGAACCAGUAUACACCAAGACAUCCAGAUUAUACUUGAUGUCAGAAGAUUGUGCAUAAGAUACAAUGCUAAUAGCGACACUGGUCCCAUCAUGUUUCUUGGUAUGAUCAAUACCUAACCGGUGUGGGCGAUGGAGACCAACAACACAAAGCUCUACCCUCAAAUGAAAGAUAUCACCAGGAUAUAUUCCAGGCACACUGCCAAUGUAUUUCUUAUCAUCACACUCUGUGGAGAACCGCUCCCUGAAAAUUCUGUAAGCCUGUAGAUCAGGUCGCACGUUAAGCACUUCUUCCCUCGAAUUGUCUUCUUCUUCAUCCAAAAGAUCCCGAUAAAUUAACCGGAAAUCCUGUAGAGACCGCAUGAUGCUUUCUCUAACGAUGACACCUCCAUUAUUUGGCAUUGCUUUAUCCUGAUCAUCAUUAUUGGUUUUCCUCUUCUUAUAUCCAGAACCAGUCUCAUUUUCACCUUUUACAGAGAAGUCACGCAUAGCUGAAACUCUAACACCAGAAUGAGCACUUGCAUAAUACCGCACACUGCUUCUAGUUGCUGGAGCGCACUGUGUUGAACUGUCAUCAAACCUGAAUACUGGAAGAUCAGGAGAUCCAUUAUCGGAGCCAAAAGCUUUGGAGAAUGAUCGCUUGUACCCAACCUGGAAUCUCCAUGGCACGACUGCCUUCCGCCCCUUGCGGCAAUAUAUUCCAUUACCAUUGUUACCAGGAGUUGCCAAACUGCAACCUUUGGCUGCUGCAUUACUCUUCUUGGCCGCCCCAUCAUCUGUACCACACUCCUUUGCAGUGUGACAAGCGGAAUCUCCCAACCCAACAUUUCUCUCUGGGUCCUCCAACCUGAGAUCUGAAGCAGAACAACCAUUGCUCUUUAGUCGAGUCUGAUCCACAAAAGACUCCUUCAAACCCUGGGAAAAGCUCUUCUCCACUCCUACAUUGCUUCCAACCUCAGGUUCACGAGCUGGUCCAUCACCGGUACCCCCUAAAUCCUGUGUGCCAGCAUCCUUCACACUACCAUCACAAUUGGAGCUCCCCAAAUUGCAGUCCUCACCAGUUUCGACACCGAUGUUAGCGCCCCUGCUAUUUUCAGCACCUUCCAAUCCGGAGCUCUUCACCCCGCCGUUGCCCAGAUUGCAAGCAUUUCCAGGUACAGGGCGACCCCCAUUAUCCACACCAGGGCUCUUCAAACUCUGACUAGGAGUGCAUCCUUCCGAUUGCUGCUCUCCUCCACCAACUCCCCCGCUCUUGCCGCCGCUCGGCGCCCCACCCGAUCCGCAAUUUUCCGCGUCCCGGACGCUGACGCUCUCACCGCCGGCGUUCGGCGCCCCACCCGAUCCGCAGUUUUCCGCAUCCGGGUCGCCGACGGUCUCCCCGCCGCCGCCUCUGGGCGCUGCGGCGGCGGCGUGCUUGAGCGGCUCCCUGACGAAGCCGCGCUGGAAGCGCCAGGGCACGAGCACCUUGUACCUCCUCGGCCCGGCCGCCCUCGGUGGCACCGCCGCCGCCCCCAUCUCCAUCCGCCGCCGCCUCUGCUCGGACUCACCCGCCGGCCCCUCCGAAAUCCUCUGCCCCCUGGACGCGGAUUGAAAAAACAGAAACAUGCGAUGCCUAAGGUCCCAGGACGAAUCGGACGGAAGGGGAAAAACCAAGCGGGCGAAGAGCCGGUAGGCCGGAGGUCUCCCCGAUACGUACCUGGAGGCGGCAACUACCCGCCGCGCGGGCGAGGCGGGGCGGGGUGGGGCGGUUCCGGGACGGGCGGGGAGUAGAGAGCGGCGGUACUGGUGGAGGAUUUCCUUCCCGUAACGGUGGAGCAGACAGCAGAGAGGGGGCUCGGCUGGGGCAGUGGGUCUUCCUCUUCCCCUCUCAAGGCCCUCAAGGCUCAAGCAGUCAAGCGAUGAUGAAAGGGUCGCGCGGCGAUGGGCUCUGCCCGAGGGGAGCCGGGCGCAGUGGUGGAGUGACUUGUUGCUGAGCGCCUGUUCUGAUCGGCUGCGGUUUUAUGGCGUUGCAUUAAAGUUACAAAAGGAUCCAAUUUUAUUUUGUGUAGUACGCGCUACGCGGUGGGUGGGUGAGUUCUCCGAUUUGGUCCUGGACUGGCUCAGGAUUGAGGAGGAUUUGGCCCUGUUCAUAGAUUUGGAAGUCGGAUCGCGUUAAACUGUGUCGUGUAGAUUGUCUUUAUAAACACAACGACCUAUUGUAGUUAGAAGGAUUUUCCUUUCCUCGCAAAAAAAAAGGAAAAAAUUCCUUGAUAUUGAAUGAAUUGGUACAUAUUUCCCAAUAAGAAGUUAUUGAUACAAAAUAUAUCUUAAGAUCGUGCCAAACAAUUUGUAUACGACAAAAAUAUUUAGUCUUUUUUGGGCAUCUGGCUUGUUAGAACCACAAUUAUUUUAGCUAUGUUUUUCCCUUCUCAAGAAAACUAGAGAAAUGAGCGAUUAGCAGGCUGACCAUCGAGGGCUUUAAUUGCACUUGCACGCUUCUCUUUCCAGUGACGGAUGUGAUAGUUCCUGGUCGAUUGAAAAAUUAGGUCAUGUUUAGUUCCCUCCAAACUCCCAAUUUUGAUACUAUGCAAAAGGAAGAUUCCCCAUCACAUCAAACUUGCUGUACAUGCAUGGAGUACUAAAUGUAAACGAAAUCAAAAACUAAUUGCACAGUUUUGUUGUACUUUGCGAGACGAAUCUUUUGAGCCUAAUUAGUCAAUAUUUGGACAAUAAUUCACAAAUACAAACGAAACGCUACAGUGUUGCUACAGUAAUUUUGGCACCCCAAAGUUGGGCAACUAAACAAGGCCUUAGUUGAGUGCCAAUGUGUUGCUAGGCUUUCAAAUAAGUAAAGGCGCGCUUUAAUUGCACGCUUCUCUUUUAAUUGACGGAUGUGCUGGUCAACCGAAAAAUAAGUGAAAACUAGUUGAGUGCCAAUACACCUACUCCCUGUCCCUUAAUAUCAGUCGUCGUGGGAAGCGUGCUGGUCAAACUUUUUAAAUUUGACUACACUUGUAGAAAAUAUUAGCAAUAUUUAUAUUUUUAAAUAAAUUUAUUAUGAAAAUAGAUUUAACAAUCUAUCUAAUGAUACUAAUUGUGUAUCAUAAAUAUUAAUAUUUUAUUAUAUAUAUUUGGUCAAAGUUGAUUACGUUUGAAUUCUCAGGAAGUGAGAACGAGAGAGAUAAUAAGGGACGGAUGGAGUACGUUGCUAGGCUUCCAAAUAAACGAAGGCGUGGGCAACCAGAGGAGCACAAGUUCCAUUGAUGAAUGAUCAUUCUUUUCGAGAAUAAUUGAUGAAUGAUCCAGGCGAUGGUUUCCUAAAAACAAAGGGAGCGUAGUAGCGUUGCCCGCCUGAGUUUUGCAAAACAUGGCGCCGGGUUAGAGGCUUAGAGCAAAGCGCUCACGCUGCUCCCGUCUUUAUACAAAUCCAGGAGCCAGUGAUAAUCUGCCUGUGGCAUCACGUUAAUUAACGAGCCGUGCUCCUCCGGUAUCAGAAAACGAGAAAAAAAGAUAGUCCUUGUAACCGAUGGAAACCGCUGCCAGUUUCCCCUGCUUCGCGGGGGCUGUAACAGAUGAUUUGUCGUGUGGUGGACGCAGAGUGCAUGCCGGACGCGUUGGCGUUGCCGACCGAGUUUUGCAGGCCGGGCAGAUAGUCUCAGUCAGUCAGCACAACGGCAUGCGCCGGGAUGUGUAACCACGCAGGUUUUGGCUUUGCUCGGCUCAGGCACUCGUCAGUCGUCACGAUCCCAACAGUAAUUUGCUGGACCCGUCAAUUCCGUUGGACGAUGCCGCCGCUUGCUCGUGCAGCCGUGCUUCGUCUCUACUCGGAUGCGAUUUUCCUUUUACUCCUGGCAGGCAUGUGCACGCACGAGGCACACGACGCACCAGGACGAGACUACCAGAGAGGAAGGUAGCUGCGUCUGCGUGCGCGAAACACCGUGGAAACGUGUGGUUGGUUGCCUGGUGAUCCUACCUACUGCCUCAACCAGAUCGAUCGGGUGAUGAGCAUACUAUACGGAGAGUGCACAUUUUAUAUCGUUCCCCUUUCGAUUCUUUCGAUCUCCAGAUGUGAACAACAACAAGAAAAGAGCAUUAUAUAUAGGGCACCUUAGCAAGCUAAAGCUAAUUAAGCACUUGUGGUCGACAGCAAACCAAUCGCACACUCCAUGCUUGCUUCCAAGCAAGCACGCCUGUACUGUACACGGGCAAGUGGACACACACGGCUGCUUGCUUGGAAGCAAUCUCUGUACCCGUCUCUACGCAGCUAGCUGCUGCUGAGAACUACCGCUGGCGCUGCUGCUGGUGGCGCCGUCGUCUUCAGACAGGCAGCAGCUGUGCAGCCUUGGGCCGGCGGCAGCAGGAGUCGUCAUCGUCGUCGUCGUCGGCGUCUUGCCCAGCUCCAGGGACAGCAUCUCGGCCUGGAGGACGGUGCAGUAGUGCCCAAACGUCUCCGGCGACACGUUGAGGUCGAACCCGACGGCGAACAGGAAGUCCACCUCCAGGUAGUUCAUCUCCGGCAGGCUGAUGCCGCCGACCCUGGCGAAGUAGGCGUUGUUGUAGCGCCUGCGAGAGGUAACGCGUAGCCGUCAGGUCGAAGCUUGUCUUCAGAAAAUUCAGAACCAGGCUUAUUAGUAGUGCCUGCCAGCAGUGGGCUACCUGACAUGCACCAAACGUCCAAACCAGAUGGGCCAAGGAUAGGCAUCACCGAACCAAUUCAUUUUAGAAUGUCAAAUGGCCAGUUGAGUAAUGGUUUGAGACUUAAGCGAAGAAAGAUGUCACUCCGAUGGACAAUUGGGUAAUUUGCUUGUGAAUGGGACAGUAGGGUUCAGUUCAGAUAUGAUGCUCUUGGCAGGAGAGAAUUGGGCCACUGAGCAUCAGCAUGGGGCAAGUUGCCAAUGUCCCAGUCUAAUUCUAUCGCACAACUUGGCCAAUGGGUUAAAUUCCAAAGCGAGGAAAGGUUGUGAGAGGGACAUGAGGGUGAGGACUGAGGAUCUUUAUCCUAUGUUUUUGGGCCCCCAGUGCAUCUGUGGCUGACUUGGCUGUAUGGAAGGAACUGGAUGAGCAUAUUUUCUUUGUUGGGCACGCAUAAUUUUCCCCAUAUAUUAUAACCUUAAAAAAGGGGCCAACUCAACCUCAACAGAGGAUAAUUAGAUAAUACUUGGUGUAGGCUUAAUACACAAAGUUGCUGCACUUUUCAAUGGUCAGUCUCUCAAAUGUAACGUGUGGUGUUGUCAUAGUUGCUGCAUUUUUCAAUUGCCAGUGCAUAGAAUGCAGGUACAGCAAGUACCAGUUAGAAUUUAGGCAGCAAGUUGUUGAGCUCUGUUCCUUGAAGAAUUUGCUCUGCUAACGCAUCCUACUUGGCUUUGGAUUUUCAGAACUGAUGGCUAUCGUAUCUCAUCAGAGAAUUCCAUAUCCAGAAGACCCAAUUCACCAAUCCUAUUUGUCAUGGCUUCAAUAGAAGCCGUCUGCAUUAUGACAUCGACACCGAUUUGAGAGUGGACAAAACUCUGUUAGUACACUAUUCCAAAGCUGGGGUUCACAACUUCACAUGAUAGUGUUAACUCUCAAAUCUCAACUAAUACCUGGACGACAGUGGUUUAUACAUACUACCUUGCAAAAGUAAGCAAGAUAGUACUGUUGUUGCGUAUGAAGACUCUGUAUUUCUUAGUAACUGUAUCCGAAUUCCUCUCGUAGCCUACCCAACUUCUGCCUCCUGAACUUCAUACAGUUCAAGGACACGGAUCCUACAUUUCUGCUUGUGGGCUGUUCCGGCUGUUUCUGUAAGGUGAGAAUUCAGGUGUGGAGCACAGACCAGAAACAAAACUGAGCAGCAGUACCGCCAGAAAUGGAAUAAUUCGAUCUUGCGCGUGAUAUGAUCGUAUUAGAAACCAAAGCUAUGAUCAGGGGAUCAGGCGUGAAGCGAGAACACUCACACGUCAUCCAUGAACUUGACGGCGGCGAGCACGGCGGUGAUGAGGAGGCGGUGGACGCUGUACGAGUCCACGGCGAGCGCGCCGCGCCCGCGCCGGCCGCGGCGCAGGAGGCGGUCGAGGUAGACGUACGCCACCACGUAGCACGCGGGGCUGCACCCGGCGAACCGCGCGAUGCGCGCCAUGUACGAGCGCACCGAGAUGUCGGGCCUCGCCGUGGCCCGGAACGCCGACGCCGGUGCCGGCGACGUCGCCGCGGACGCCGACGCGGCCCCGGCGGCGAGCUCAUCCGCCGCCGCGUCGUUGCGCUCCACGACGCGCUCCAGCAGCGCGGAGAGGACGCCCACCACCCGCGGCGCGCCCGCGAGCUCCUCCUCCUCCUCCUCGGCCAUGACGCGGUCUCUUGCCGUCGUGGCCUUCUAGACGCUGUGUGUGUGUGCAGGUUCUUGCGCUGGUGGAGAGGGGGUGGACUUGAUGCUGGGCGAGCUCAAGAGGUCCUCAUAUAAAAUGGAGGGAAGACGGUUAAAAGACUGAGCACCUAUUCAGGGUGUAGAAAAAGUUUGCAGCAAUUUUACUGGAAUUUGUACUGAACUUUUUUUAUGUUGUUGAAAGUAAGAGUCGGCAUCAAGGUUGGCGGCGGUAGAGAUUUCCAGCGUUUCGUUCCUCACUGUAUUCCGAUUUCAGUCCCUAGUUCUGAAUAGAACAGUAAAAAAAAUUGAACUGCUUGCAGGGUAAAAUGGGCAGAAAUACACAAUCCUAAGAGAAGUCCAUUAUCCAAAGAGAAGUGCCUCCAAAGACAAGUCCAUUAUCCACUUCUGUGGACCUUUCUCUUAUUUCUUUCGCUUUCAUUUUUUUAGAAUGGAAUAUUCCUUGCACGUCUUUGAUAGGCGGCUCUAAAUAUGGCUGGUUGUUGAUUUGUUUGGUAGUAGCUUGGUGAGGUAAAGAGUACCAAAAUUCUUUCUUUACCACCUGAGUUGCACGCUCGGUUGUUCUUACUUGAGAUUGGUUCAUUAGGGGUGUCACAUUCGUGUCAAAAUGGUGAGAUGUGACGCUCCAAGAUUGACAAAAUGGACAGGUACACCUGGAUCAAGAUCCGAGGUGUAAAACAAAACGCAUCUUCUACACGAUUUCAGUCAGUUAAAGUGUUUUCCCAUGCUUCUUUUAUUAAUCUUCCAUGCUUAUUUUUUUAAAAAUAUCUUUGUUUUAAAACAUAUAUACAUAAUUAAUUUGGUGGACGUGUCAAUCACAUGCCCGCGGCUCUGUUUCUCUUCACAAAAUUCUUCAGCUGGAAAUGGUGAUCACGUCCUAUGAAAGGUCAAACACUAGAACGACCAAGACCAAUAGCGUGACACCAGCGCGUAUCAGAACAUGCCUUCUACUAAAAUCCCAACGGUGCCUCGCUUUUUAGCGUGCGCCUCCAGUCACUGCAUGCAGACCGCUUUUUCUAAUGUUGCUGGAGUAUGUGAUCUGUCUCUGCCAAUUUCGAAAAAAAAAAUCAGUACCAAUAAACAGUUGUUACGUACCAAUAUCUUUUGUAUUGUUUAGGAGUUAGCCCUACAUGUUGUAUCCCUUUUAAAUGUUGGGUUCCUUGCCAACUACUUCUGGAGAUUAGAGCGAGGGUCUAGAUCAUGUCCUGGCGUCCUUGUCUGUAUUAUUGUCCAGGACAUAGACUCAAUACACUCAACCGUAUGUAAUUUGCAUCCGGAGCUGUAACUCUAUUCAGGAAAAUAUGUCGAUAAAAUAGGCACCUGACCACCUCUUUUUCGCCUUUUGUAUGGUCACUGUUUGUUCAUCACCAACCUUUGAACGAUUCUGAUCAUUACUUUAGGGCGCUGCACCUUAAUUUUAAUUUGAAUGCAGCCAGGUGACUGCAACUACCCCUGUGUAGUCUCUUAGCGAGCCCCCACAUGCUUUAGUUCACAUUGCUAUGAGCAAUCUGCUGACAAAUGAGCUGCCUUUUUGGAGGAUAGAGAUUGCUCAGCAAAGUAGCACCACCUAAUUAGAGCGAAAACCGGGUGGUCGUUUGGAGUUUUGCAACAAAUUCAGCUACCAUUAUCCGGAUAUCAACAUCUACAGAAACCUAUAUGUACCAAUCAAAAUAAACAUGCCAAUCAUACAGGAAAGUCAAGAGAUGAUACAUAAUUAUGUGCUAUAAAGUUGCAAGCCAUAGGUAAGAACGUAAAUGUAAAGCAAAGGACCAUAGUAAAACUAAGCAGUGUCAAGUCAAAGAGUGACAACGUGCGAGCAUUGAAGUACCCCUUCAAUCCCAAGAACAAAAGGUGUCCGAGAUGAGAAAAAGCUUCUAGCCAUGCAUCCUCUGAUUGACUUAACCGGUAAUCAAGCAAAGCAAUCGAAUCUAGUUUAUGUACAAAUUAAGAAACUGAACCGAUUUGUAGACAGAAAGUAAACAAACUCAACCAGUUGCGAACAAAACUAUUGCACCAAGAAAGCUUGAUUAAUCCUAAAAAAUAAGGCUUGAUUAAUCCUAAAAAAUAAUGUUCUUUUUGAAAAAGUAAAAAUAAUGUAAAUAUACAUUUCGAAAGUACAAAGAAGCCACCUAUUUGGCCCCCUGUUCGUGAUUUUAGAAUUUCUAACUGUGCCAGGGAUCAAUUUACCUUGUUGUCUGAUUUGUCUAGCGAAACAUCUGAUCAAAUGAUGUAACCCCACUGGAAUUAACAUAGCUGUACCAGUUAAGCACGCAUUUUUAGAAAACAUUUCAGGCAAGUAAUGCGAUCGUUCAAUGUGUGUACUCAUAAUAUCAUCACUCUUGCUUCCACCAUUAUGUGCCCGCAAAAGCAUAGGUGUUAAUCAGUGACUUGUAUUCUUCGUCCUCAGCACAUCCUCUACUUGUAAGUACACUCACUAACCUAUCUGCACCCUCUGUGUCAUUCUUCUCCUUGAAACUUGCUAGGAGACUCUCAACAUUAGUGGGUCUUGGUUUCCAUUUACUUGCACUUUUAACUGCCGUGGCUUUCUCCAUGCAUGACAGAGCUUCAGAUAUUUUAUUAUCCUUCAGGUAGGCUGUGGCAAGGAUUUCCCAGGUGUUUGGCUUGGGGUUUCCACCUUUUUCAACAAAUUGGUUCACAAUUUGUUCAGCCUUGGUAAUCAAACCUUCUCUAGCAUACCAUGCCAGUAAAAUGUUCAUAGUCUUAGGAUCGAAACUAGAGCUUUUGGACGCCCAUUCCUCGUAUAGAAGCUCAGCUCCCUCAAUAUCUCCUAUCCUUACAAGGGCAGAUAGUACCUCUUGGUAACCCAGGUUAUGAAUUGUAGGAAAAGUUGCCUUAUACCAGUUCCAAAUACGGUAAACUUCUUCCUUCUUGCCAAGAUGGCUAUAGAGUGUGAUGAGAUAGUGAAAACACUUUUUGUCCCGACCUGUUGUUCUCUUUUCAGCUCCUUUCAAGCAUUCUUCUGCCUUCUCAGAGUUCCCAAGCUUAAUAUACAUGCUAGCCAGUGUAGUAUAAGUAGUCCAAUUGGCAAUAACAGACUCAUCAGCAAUCAUCUGGCUAAAGACUCGCUCCAUUUCAUCAGCAUCUUGUUUAGCUGCACAGCUCUUUAUCCAAAUGUUGUAAGUGCACACAUCAAAGGAAACAUUUCUUUCCUUCAUCUCAUCAAUAAUUGCUGACACUUCAUCAGGCUCUCCAACAUCAACAUAGAAAUUCAUCAGCACAUUACAAGGUAAUGUGUCAGAUGCAAAUCCUUUUUUCCUCAUUUUCUCAAACGUGUCUUCUGUUUUAUCUUUCAUCAUAGCUUGGGCGUAAACAUUUAGAAGGGAACCAUAAGUCCGCUUGUCCUUCAGGGGAUCAGGGAGCUCUUCAAAAUAUUUCUCAGCAUGUGAAACACCACGCACUUUAGCAAUCAGAUCCAACUGGAUUGCCAUAUCACUUGAUGAGAGCGGAAAUCUAUCUCUGCGCUCUGUCAUCCAAUCGUAAACCUGUGCGUGUCAUAGAAAACAUUUGAUGAGAAUCAAUAUCAAGGCUAUCACUGUUAUGCUUGGCCAUCAGAAGGAGCAUUAGAAGAUGCAGUAAAUUCUAUGCCUAGUCAUCAAUAAGCAUUAUUGCAGGUCCACAGCAAAAAGAAUUUUUGAGAACGUGAAGGGAAUCAAGCUAUUGUUUUCGCAAAAAAAAAAAAAGGAAUUAGUGAUGCUUGAACAGUGGCUACUUUUCCAUUCGGUCCCAAAUUCAUGAACAAACAGGUGCAUUGGCUGAAAUCGAAGUGGAAUAGGUGGUCGAGGGACACCACCGGAGGCGGAUCGCAACAGCAUAUAGCUACCUGGAGCGCGAGGUUGAACCUCCUGAACUUGCGGAGCUCCUUGGCGAUGCGGCAGAGCUCCCAUUUGUCGAGGCGGCGCUCCCCCUCGUCCCACGCCCCCAGCGUGCGCCCCACCGGCCGCCCACCGUGCCCCACCGCGAUGCGACGGUACAGGGUACCCCACCGCAGAGGAGCGCGACGCUCGUAGUCCACCGUCCCGUAGCUGUGCACCUUCGCCACCUGCUGCCCAGCAGCAGCCGCCUCCGAUGCAGAAGACGACGGGGUGCUCGAGGAGGAGGCCGCGCACCUCACCGUCACCGCCACCGCCGCCGCGGAAACGCACGGACGCCUCUGCGUCGAGGGGCGUGCCGGGGUUAUGGGUGAGGAGGAGGUGACGAGGUGGAGCAGCAUGGUGAACGGCGAGGAGGAGGGCGGCUUCCGGUGCGGAUGAAGGAAGGGGAUAAGAGUGGGCGAGCCGGAGGCUGGGUUUGGGGGUUGGGCUGGCGCUUUGAGAUUCGUGCACCAGGAUCCGCACGAUCUGGGCCCACAGCUUUCAUCCUUUGCGUCUUCCCGCGCGGAUUUGUAUUGGUGGGCCGUGAUCUGUUUAUCUUUGGGCCGUGGUUCGGCCUGUAAAAUCCACAACGGCUCUUCUUCCUCAGGACUGCUGCUGAUGGCCCUCUCUAUUUGGGAAACCUGGUUAAGUCCAAAAGAAAAAAAAGUAAUAAAUAAAAUAAAGAGGCCACUUGUAUUAAUUUUUGGGUCACUAAAUUGGCAAUUAUUUGAUUCUUUUUCUCGCGCACUUGAAAAUUCUAUAACGCGUUUGCAUUAAGUAGGUACAGAUGGUCAAGGUCAGUGACAGCUCCUCUCUUUUUUUUUGAUACAUCUUUCUUUCCUCACACAUCUUUCCCUUCUCCACCCAUUGUUUCUCGACUAUGCAUACAUAACCUUCACCACUUCGUCAUAGGGUAGUGGACUAGAAGCACACUAUCUUCGCAACCCACAACACGUAGAUGCUUGUGUUUCGUGUUCUUAAGUGGAACACUACAUGUUGCAAGAGUAUGGUGGCCGCUCGAGCCGCCGCAAGAUCUCACCAUCUCUAGCCGUCGAUGCUACCUCCAUUAUCUUAGGUGAGAAGUUCUAGAAGCUGAUUGGAACCCAUAUCUUUUAAUGAAAAUUUUGAUUGGAGUUUUAGUUGCGAUGGAAUUCGACGAUUCAAGUCAAAAGUUUUAGGAGUAGAGUAGAAGGGGAAAUUUAAUUGUCAUAUACUUUGGAUCUGAGUUUUUGUGCGGACUAAAAUUCGAGCAAUUACUAAAGAAAGGUGUCUUUCUUUCUGUGCACAUCUUAUUCCCCCCUCUCCACCCUCCACUUCUCGACUACGCAUAGAGCACCAACUAAAAGCUCACUAUCUCCGUUGCGCAACAUGAAACUUGGAUCUUUAGCAAAAUUUUCGAUUUGAGUUGUAGUUAUGGAAGAAUUCAACAUUUCAGUGGUAACUAUCGCAGAUUAAUCAUUUCAAGUCGACAGUUUUCGGAUUUGAGUGGAAGGGGGGAAUUUUCUAGUCCGACGGGUUGGAUCUAAAUCGAAGGUUUUUCUUUUUGCAGGUUGAAAGUUAUGAUGCAGAGUUGAAAUUCAGGCAAUUACUAAGGAUAUUGCCUUACUCAAGCGGAAUAAUGGGAUUUUGAAUUGGAAUUUGAAGCCAGCCCUCACACAUGAAGGGAGAGGAGGUAGGUUUUCUAACUAUAGCAAAUACAAAACUUCAACAGUUUACUUAUCAAUUACAGCAACUACGUAUCAAGUAAUAGUGGGAAUGUAUUAGAAAGCCGUUGUGGUACCUUUUGCUAUAUCAGUUGAAUUGUCAAAAUGCACAACUAGAAAAAUAAAGCGUAAUGUGUUGGCACUCAUUUCAAUCAUGUAUUGACAGGCAUAAGACACCAGUUAUCCUGUCCAGAAGAUUCAACAAGUAGCACUGAUUGGAAUUGGAAUGGUUAGAAGUGAACCCAAAAUUUUGGCUAUCUGUGCUAAUACCUGGGCAAUGUAAAACUCCUGAAAAAAUAAUUGUGCCUGGCUUAUAACCAUGCCAAAGUUGCAGCAAGAUUUUUACCGCACUCAGAUUUCACUACAUUCGGCCUAGGAGUAGUCUAGGCAAUGCAAAAAAAAUAAAAAUAAAAAAAACAUAACCGAAUUCUUUAAUGGAACCAAGUGCUGAAGAAAUUGAGGUCACUAGUGCUGUUGCUAGUGACCUAAUGCCAUGUCUGGUUGCACAUAUCACCAACCAACACUAUCAUCAUCAAGCAUUGUCUUGGCUCUGAGAGUCAAGAGGCCCUGCAAUGCAGACACGCACAGCCAUGCUCAACAGGCCAAAACAGGUGAGCAAACAAACACUUCAGCACCGACUGCAAAUUGCAAUAUCACAUACAUAACUCCCUAGUAUGCUCCUUUUUUUCAUUUCCUGCAAUAAGAUGUCAUCUUUUCCAUACAGAGAACUUAUAAUCUCUCCAUGAGCCAUAUGCUACAGAAAACCAGCAGAACUCCAUCCAAAAGCAUGCUACAAAGUGCAAACGUUAGCUGAUCGGACAGUUUGCCAAGUUGGCAGACGACACAUUGUUAUCUGGGCGAUGACAGCACAUGCAAGAUCAAACUGCAAAAUGCCCAUCAGUGGUCGGUAAAUAAAGGCACCAUGAUCCAAGAACCUAAAAAAACUACCGCUAUCGCCUGUUCCUAAGUUGCUUGCUGAUGGCACCUGGGACUAUGGUUGCUUGAGACACCCCUCCCCUCCAGCAACCCCAUCCACGGAGGUGGAGCUGUGAGUUAUUGAACUCAGCUGAGAUGGCUGACAAAGAAGUUCUGCUUCCGCGUGCCGUGCAUUUAGAGGAAUGUCCAGCAGCAAGUCUUGAUCAGAGUCACCAUUGCCAUACUGUGGAGGGACCAACAAGGAUAACUUUUCUGGGGGUAGCAUAAAUAAGCUAAGUGCUCCUCCAGUGCAGGUUGAACCUUUGGUGGCAUAGCCAGAUUUUAGCAUAGAUGAGCUCUUAAAUUGAGAAGCCAAAUCCCCAGACUUUAAAACUCUUUUAGGAGUCCUCAUGGUACCCUCUAGUUCUGCAUGUUCACAAGCAAAAGCAAAUAAGAAACCUUCUUUGUCACUGACAUACAGAAAUAGUGAAAUAGGAAUAUACUCCGUGAGACAUUUUUUGAUGUCACAUCUAGAAACUUGAUGCAAGUCAGGAUCAUAGGAACUAAUAUUGCUAACCUGUUUCACUCUGAAUGUGGGUGUCACGGGAUCUUUUGAGCGGUUUCAUAGUGAACUUGGUAGAGCCUUUUGAUCCACUGAUAUUCUCCACUCCUCCAAUUGCCUUAAUCUCCUUUUCCUGAACAAAAAGAAAUAACUAAUUAGCCAUGUAAAAGCAAGCUUGGAGAUGAGAAAAGAGAUAUAAGUGAUGUAGGUAAAUGUAUUAGAAAGCCAUUGUGGUACCUUUUGCUGUUUAUAGCACUCCAGCCAUUUGCAUCUUGUUAAAUUAGUUAAGGCAAGCAUCUUCACUGUAUUCCAUCCCUCAUCACCAGAGAAAGACGGAUCAAGAAUUCCCUCUCCAAGAAGCAUUUGGUAGCUAUCUAUAGCAUCAGAAAACUGGAUAGAAUCGAACAUGCUUCUAACGCUGCUGAAAGAACAAGAUACAAAUGAGGACUUGCACAAAAUGGCAUCAACUAAUAUGAGUAAAGAUCUGGGCAAGCAUAAAGUAAACCUGUCAGGAGUUGAGGAUUCUGCAGGAGAAAGAAGUUUGAACAACUGUUGUUGGUCUUCUUUAGUUAGAUAUUUCACAAAGUUAGAGUAGUUGACAACAUCCUGUUCAAGAAUGAGAAGAUAAUAUACGGGUUUAGUUUCACUGAUUAGUCAAUAUCAUAUAUGCCAACCAUAUCCAAUGGCACUCUAUGCAAAUAACAUCUACAAAUUAUUAACCUGAACAAGAAGGGGCAUCAUAGGAUGGAUACCUCUAAAUCUACUGAAACUAAAGGUGAAUCAAUACUCUCCAGGAUAUGCUUAUUUUCAUAAGGAAGUUUAUCCCUGCAAAACAGACACAUAAAAUAAAACACUUAGAUUGAUUCUUACCAAAGUAACUUGUUUUAGCCAAUACUGAAUGAACAUACCAAUCCUCAAAUGCACACUUUUGCUAAUAAGAACAUAAAGAGUAUAAUACCUUCUAGCAUUAUCUUCAAUAUGCAGCGGUGACCUCUUUAGCCUCGCAGUUGCAGGAUUUAAGUUGAUUGCUGCCCUGUUUCCACUGUGAACAACAAAUGAGGCAGACCCAGAAUAGGAUUCGCUUGUAAUGUAUGAUUUAUUAUCUGCAGGAAUGGAGCUUGCUUCUGAUUCUUCCUCUGGUGAUUUCGAGUUCGGAUGUCUUAGAAGCACACUUCCAGAGCCUAUCUCAAAGGAGCCCACAGGAGUUUCACUAUGGUAUAGUAGGUCUUCCUCUGAGGAUCCUGAAAGGUAAUAUAGCUGCUCUUCAUGCAUGAUGGAGCUAAGAUCUUUUGCAAGCAUUUCUACAGGCGACGGCUUUGGACGAGUAACACAGCUCCUCUUUCUUGAUGGAACUAGGAACUCCCAAGCAUGUGAUUGUGCUGAACCUGAAUUGGCAAUAUAUCCGAGAGUCAGCAUUGAAAUAUGUAACAAAAAAAGGUAACUUCUAAGUAUGGCAAAUCUUGAGAAUCGAUGUUCUUUUAUUUUGUUUCACAGGGUUCAUGUGAUCAAGUAUCACUUCAGGGACAUGAUAAAGGAAGACACGUAGUCAUGUAUGAUACAUCAAGUAUUGAUAUUUAAUGAAACAUUAUUUUCGCCAGAUAUUAGGGUCCAUGCCGUCUGAACCCAAUUUGCAGAUUGCAAUCCUUCACAGUUACCUCUAUAAAAAUAGUGAGCAAUAAGUACCUGAUGGUUUAUCAAAUGACCAUAAGUUCUGAACUUCUCAUGAAGUCAUAAUUAUGGACUACAGACAGAACAGGAGUUUACAAAAAAAAAGUUGUUUGGGUGGCGUCAACGCAUUCAUGAAAAACAGAGGAAAAAUCAGAUCUGCAUUACAAUUUAGAAACCUCUUACUAAAUAUGAGCUAAAAGGGUACCGGUAGAAUAACAAUAUAAAGAUGUCUAAAGAAAAUUUUUGAGUUUUAAGCAUAACUUCGUAGACAAAGCAUCCAAGAAUGUACUUCUGACAUUUAAGUCCUAUCACUUGUCUGAAUUGAAUCUAGCCACAUGCACAGACUCACAAAGGAUGAGAGGGCACACAAAUCAUUUUAUUAAGCAACAACAAAGUAGGCAUUGAGAUCACUGACCAGUCAUUUCACUUGCAUCAGCAGCACCAUAUGGGCCGCAACUCUCAGAGUAUGACACUGCAGAUUCUGAACUAGACCGAUUGCUUGGGUCAGCAUCCCCCAUCUUUUGGAAAUUCUGACAAGAAAAUGGCCCAUUAUCCAUUAUGAUGUGAUUUGGUUUUUUCUUCUGUGACUUCGACUUUGAUGUUGGUGGCUUCAGCUUGCUAACUCUAGGUUCAUUGUCAUCAAUAUAAUCCUUGCGAUGCAUUGGAGUGUAGUUUGCCAAUGACCCCUUUGUUCUCCAUCUUGAGCCACAUGCAUUGCAGAGCACCGGCUUAUCUGGUGGCCCAUUUCGCCAAAGGGGAGUACCUGUUCAAGCAUUACCCAUGAGAAAUCCAUCAAAAUCGAUACACAAAAAUGCGAGCAGAGUACAAGUUCAGAUUUUAAUGACAGUGUCCUACUGCCCACAGGAAUUGGUAUCACAAUUUAGAUGUAUCAAGAGAUGGUGCCAUCAAGUUAGGGAACAUAGAAAACAGGUAAGAAACUAUACAUUAUCAAAGAAUGUAUCCAAAAGAUAUCAUGUAACUAACCACAUACAUUGAGAUUAGAUAUUUCAGAUAUUGUUUUCAAAGCCUCAAUGGUUAGUUCAACUGUAGAGGCAUGUAAUUCUAAUCUGCUGUUCUACACAAUGGCCAUACUGAAUGCAGAUAGCCACUUCAAAGGAGCAUUUUGCUGCAGUAAGAAGCUAAAGAAAGUUCAGGCCAUGUAAUGCUGCUAGCACAAGACGGGAUAAUAUUGUGUAAAUUAUACAGCAAACUUAAGUUUUCACUUCAAUGGCACCCUGAAACUAAGCAUUUCUGUAGAAGCAGCAGCAAGUUUACUCUAAAUAUCUGAUUGGCAGAAGCAAAUGGUUAUUUUCCUCUUGCAGAAUAGGAGUGAGAGCUGCAUCUAAACUCUCAUUAUCUCCGAAAGUCAUCUAAGAAGCGCAUAUCCACCGCAGUCAAACACGAGUCUAAAUGUGUUCCGUGGGUAUAAUCUGUUCCUCAAGUUCAGAAUUUUACAGGCAAAGGCCUCUGAAACCUCAACUAUGUGCACAGAUUUCUCUUGAACACUCAUGGCAGUUCAAUGGAUUCAGAUAUAAUAAUAACCAUCAACAAACGCACAAGCAACACGGAAAUAUGAGGAAUCCGAGUCCAUGGAGUCCAAAGAUUUCGUCUACGGCCCGGUUCCCAGAUGCAUAAUUGGGGGAAAUCGUACCCCGAAAAGUAUUACUUGCUGAGGAACAAAGGGGCAAAAGGGAGGAAAACAAGAGAAAAAAGAACAACUGGAAGAAAAAUUCUAGCUUUAUUCAAGAACAAGAGCUCACUUGUGACUCCGCAAUGACGGCAGGGUCCUUGCUUCCCCAUGAUUCCCUUUGCUCCUCACCUCCCCACAGGUGAAGAAGAACGGACCAGAGGAAAAUCCAAACAAAACAAACACGGAAAAACAAAGCAGAAACAAGCAGUUCUCCUGUACAGGUAAAUUUUUGAGCAAAAAAAGGGGGAAAAUCAAGAACUAUUUCUCUGUAUGAAUCUCGUCAAACCCAAAGGGGAUUCCUGGGGACAAUUCCACAGCCCAUGAGGUGCUCAAAAACCAAGUCUUGCUUGGUAGGUGUUCUUCUUUCUUCCUCUCCCUAUUUGUUUUCCUAUUGUUCUGUAUCCAGUCUUUUAGAGAGAGAGAGAGAGAGAGAGAGAGAGAGAGAGAGAGAGGGGAAAGGGGUGGAGAAAUAAUGGAGGAAGGAAUGCAGCACCAGCAGCCGAAGGGGAGAUUUACAAAGGCCGGGUGAAAGGCAUUUGGGGAGGAAUCCAAAAGAAUUAUAAUUUAAAAGCUGUAUGUUUUUGUUAAAAAUAGAGAGAGAAGCAAUUAGGAAUUGGGCAAAGGAGGAAAAGGAGAUGAGGUAGAGAGGGAGGGCAAAGCUUCUUUCUCUGUUGUAUCUUUCGACCUUUGGAUGGUGGGUUUGCUGUGUUUCAUUUCAUUUCAUUCAAUUUCGUGAUUAUUCAUGUGGAUGUGACUAAGUUGAAGUUAGGGAUAUUUCCUUGCACUAAUUAGUCAAUUUGCUUACCUUUAAAGCUCUCCACUCUGGGUGCCAUUAAAAGAAUCUUUUGCCUUGGGCCAUUUGCAUCUUACCCCCUUGAGAAAGAGCACAUGUUCAGUCCAACGAAGUCGUGUACCGUAGUACAACGUCUGGAUACGCCACACAAGCUGAACCCAGGAUGGAUGUUGCAUAAUGAAGUUGACAUUGAAAAGUCUCUUUUGAUAGGUUAAAAAAAUCUUAUGCAAUUUUUUUCUUGCCUAUGCACUUUAGACAUACUAUUGCAAUAAUCCAUUAGCAAACAAUGAUAACUCUAUGCUAUACGAAAAACGCGGGAAACGUCCGACUUUUGAAAACUACAUAAUCGUCGCAAUUAAUUGAUUUAUGCUCAAAGUAGUUCGAAUGUAUAUCACAGAAUAAUUUAGGCAUAUAUUCAUGAAUACGAUACUGCAAGUUUUUUCUUCUAAAAGUAAAAUAUGAUUUCUAAGAUAUGUAAGCUAUACUGGUUUAUAAACAUCUAGGUAUCAGUUUAUGUCAGUUUAUGGAUAAAAGUCCAAAAUUUUGUGCACACAUAAAGAUCAUAGGUGAAGAGAUAGGCAUAGAGGUGACACAAGAAAGGUGAAAGUUAUCCUCGAAGCAGUCCUGCCUGGUGGAUGAGCUAAAACCCAACCAAGGAAGCCUAAGGGUGUAUAGCUCAUGAUGUGUCGCUAAAGAAAAUGUACUAGACUCCAGAGACAUAGGAUCUAUACUACUCAGGUUUCGGGUACGACGGGAACUCAAGGGAGGCUUGUGUAAUUUGAUGCCCCUUUUGAAAUGGGAAAAAACUUUAUUUGCAUUUUUUUUCUUUUACAUGCAAUUCGAUUUGGCAAAAAAAAAUUCUUUAGUUAGGUGUCUUUAAUAUAGAAAUUUUCUUGGCAUAUCUGAAAGAUCAUCUCCCAACAACUUAGCGUAUAAACACAGAUUUGGUGAAGGCACCUAUAUAGAAACAGAGUGCGAAAGCACUCAAGUUCCCAGUAUGGAGGGCUGCGCAGGCCGGUCCAAAAGCUGUUUCAACGUGUUUGCCAGAAAUAAUAACUCCUCCUAGGUGAUUUCCAUAUAAUUCUGUGGGUGAUCUUGCCAGUCAACUGUUGGAUUGGCAAUGGUGCAGUGAAUAUCUUGCCAUUUUUUCCCUAACAUAUUUGGAAUUCCUGGUGCCACCCAGCAUUUUACAUCCGAGACAAGCGACUCUGCGCUGUAUCAAAUCCAACUAAUAACAACAGUCAUACAAAUUCUGAAUCUGACCACAUGAAUUGUCUCUCGUCAAACUACCUACCAUCCGUUUCAACAAGGCAUUAAAUUCCGCUGGAAUCCAGAGUUUGGAUUACACGCGAAUGUGAGUUUGGGUCACACGAGAAUUUGAGGGGGGGGGGGGGGGGGGGGGGGGGGGUUAAAAAAAGAAAGAAUACUCUCCACGUGCAUCUCUCCUUGAAACGAAAGUUGAAUGGAAAUCAAGCAGAAGUAUUAGGCCGCUAGAAAGAAUAGGAAUAGCGUUAGCAAGAGGUCUGCGAGAGAGUACUGGUGACUCCAUCAGCUGACGUAUUUUUACACCGAAACAGGCUGCCAAUAUUCAAAUCAGCGAUGACACGGUCGAGACAAACGCUGCGUCAGAAAUUAGGCGAUUUUACGUGCUAAGGAAAUUAGGCAUCGUCUAGGCAGGGUCAGUCACCUCAUGCGAGCCAUAUUUUUUUACUCCGAGCCCACCAAAAGGUCGGUCUCUUCCGGGUUAUUAACAUGGUGGCCACUCUUAGUUGGCGCAAGCCACCCGCACCGCCCAAUCUUCCUAGCUAUACCAAACAAAGGGUUAUUCCUAAACGGAAGGCACCUAAUAAUGUUAGAAAAAUGCCGGAGUAAUAAUUGUUAUAUAUUAAAUCCAAUUGAAUUUUCUCAUAACAAAGAAAUCCAAUAGGUUUUCUCUCAGAAAAAGAAAUCCUAUGAAUUCCCCUACCCCUAAAAAAACGAUAUAUUGUGGAUUUUCCUACAUUACAGAAUAUAUGAUUGUGAUUCGAGAUUUUUUUUUUUGAAUGAGUGGGCACGAGAUUGUGCAUAUUUCAUUGAUAUAAAGAAGUUUUACAGGAAGGAAUUUGGUGAAACAAAGAUAUCCCCGCUCACAUUCAGCGGUUGCCGCAUAUGUUUUUUGGGUGUGAGUUUAGGUCAAUAUAGGAGUAGAAGAAGGAGACGGUGACAGACCAUGAAAGGGCCCAAGGACGGACGAGAUAGAGAGAGAAUAUUUGGUGUACAUAUUCUUGUGUUGACCAAGCAUGGAGGCCCUGGUUCCUUUCUUUCUUUCCCCGGAGAUAGGCUUGGCUUCGAUGUGGUAGCUCUAUUUGUUUUUCUCUUUUGGAGGGGAUAAGAAACGGAGGGAGGCAUCAAAUAGGAAGCCGGCCAGAUAGUGGUGCCAACUCACCCGGUCACCCCCAUCAUCCCCUCCCCCCCCCCCCCCCCCCCCCCCCCCCAAAAAAAAAAAUGCAUGUCAAAUGCUACGGGAGGAAGCACCACCGAAUUCUGGCUUUGCUUUCCUCGCCCUGCCACAGCACUUUGUGCAAUCACCCGUUGAUUAGCCUGGCAUGAUUAAGCUCUGUCCAAAAGUAUUCAAUUUUUCAUUCCUUUUUUAUUUUGUUACUUCAUCUCGAGUUAAUUCAAGAACUACAUCAACGGUGAGCUGAUUUCGUGAGGGAGUCAAUUUGUUUUGGGUAGGAGCACGUACAUGAUGUAAUUCGUAUUUACUGUGAUGUUGAGGUGUGCGUGAAACGAGUCCGCAGGAAUGGUGGUUGUUCUUACGUGUACAGCAUUUCCGAUCAAUCAAGUGGCAGUAGUACGUGUUGUAUUUUAUUAAUUGGAGAAGCUUAAGUUCAAGUCCUCAAGAUCCAGCUGAGUUGUAAAAACUUUGUGAAGCAAUGUCGUCAUCCAAACCAAACAUUCCCAAAGACCGCAGGUUUCGGUGAGUUCUUUCCGGUCAGUUCUUCACAUCUCCUUGCGUAUAAGCAGGGGACCCCGGUUCCGCACUGAUAGGGAAAUCGCAGCGGUUUUCUUUUCUCCGUGUCUUAGACGACCCUGUCAUAUCAGGAGCUUCGUGCACACUCACUACUCCCCCCGGGAGUCACUAGCACGAGAUGCUGCUUACUGGUGCUCAGCAAAUGUGCAAUAAGGUUGAUCCUUGUUUUAACCAAAAAAUAAAAAACAUUGCAAUGACUUGCAGUGCAGAUCUGUCUGGGUUAAAGUUGUUUUUUUAUUACCUUCAGUGCAGUACCUCAGUGAAUUUUCCGGUGCUUACAUAAUGGUGAUGGAUUGAUUGUACUGGUACUCUUGUUGGGUUAUUAGGAAUGAUCUCCAGGUGAACGAUUUCCAGUUGGGAGCUAUAGCUUUUGCAGUGCUCACACUAUGACCACAUCCUGUGACUCUGCGUAGGCCAAAACCAACAGAACAUUUUGUACGUAUUUGUCAUCAAACAAAAAAAAUGAAGAUAAAAGCUGCCAUGGAUAUCUACCAGCAAUUCAGGCAUCAGCCGGAGCAGCUGGACACGCAGAUCUGCCGUGCUCCCGCGAGAGAGUUCAGGUGCUAAGCCAGGCAAGUUCUGCGCAGAUGGUGAUUAGUCACAGUCAAAGCACGGUUGCUUGACACCGAGGCAGCAGCCAGCGGCCUUGUAGUGUACGCGCUUCGGGUCAAACGGGCUGUUGGCAUCUGAAUAACCUGUUCAACCCUGCCGACUCUACUACAACUGAAUGUCUCCGACAAACUACUACUGUAGUAGACAAUCGGUAGAACCCCUGUCAACCGGAUAAUUCCAAAAAAAAAAAUGCCCCAGCAGUUCUUUUUAAUAUAAGAUCCCAGAAGGUUCAGCCAUGGGUACUGGCAGCAACAGCGAAAUAACUUUGGGAAAAAAAAAUGGAUCAAAUAGAGAAGAGGAGAAGAGUUUCUGGUCGCUGGAAGGCCUGCGGCUCAGGCGCGGGGCCCACGUCUCAUGUGGGACCCGCUGCGACAUGUUGCUGAUUAGAUGGAUAUGUAUUCCAUCCACGUGUAGUAGGAGUAUUAGAUUAGGCGUCUUGAUUUGCUUCUGAAGGGGUGCGCUUGGUUGGUCUAGGCUGCUGGCUCCUCCUGUAUGUCAGGGUGAGCAAUGAUAUAGCCAUUCAGUUUCGUUAGAUAAGAAACACUAACAUGACAAGUCUGCGAGGCUCGUAACGCUUCGCCAAUUUUAACAAGCAUCACCCAAUCUGCAUCCGACGGCCGUCAUCAAAACCGUCGAUGUUAUCUUCUUCCUUUGUAUUAUUAGAUGCUAAAUAGUAGUUUCUUUCAACUUAAACUGUGUUUACUUUAACCGACCAAGCCAUUGCUGUUUAGGCUGACCAGCGGGUCGGAAGGACAUCGAAGAACAUUUAUCUUAACCCUAGUAGUUGAUAGAGUAGUUAGUAGAACUUAGCCGUCUCCAUGGCGGUUGCUGAAUCGGAUUCCUCCUUGUUCAUCGUUGAUUCAGUAAAGUUCUUGCUACUCUGUCUAUCGAUUAGCUUCUGAGUUCUUUGUGUUUUGGUUCAGUCCUAGCUUCAUUCUUUUUCAUUUGCAAAGUUCUUGACAAACGUAUCCAGAGCCCGGCAUCCUCGGCCGGAUUCUCCAAUUCCAGAACCAAAUCUUCCGGAUUCAGACCGAUUGGAGUGGUGGAUUGGUGGUUGCGGCUCACCCGCCUAAAUUCCCACCCACCCACCCGGAUUCGUGGAGAACACCCCAAUUUUCCCUAAAUCAGCGGUAGAUUUCUUGCUAGUGAGGGUUGCAAGGCAUUGUUCUUGCAUAAAAUUCCGAAAACUGUGCUGGAAUCCAAUCCUGCAGCGGCAUUGGAGGGAGACACUCUUUAGUGAUGGUUGUAAGACAUUCUUGUGUAAAAUCCCCAAGCCAAAUCCAUGUGUCAGGCAGCGGUUGAACGUACCAUGAGACUAAUUAGGGAGGGUUUUGCCCAAACCGAUCUUGCAUAAAAGGAUGGUAAACAACAAUGAAACUGGUGAGCAGAACUUGUAUGCCAUUGCUGUGAAUGUGGAUGGACUUCGACGCACUCUUGACAAGUUCAUGAGGGAGCAGGAUGUUCAGAACAAGUUUAUUCAAGGGAGUUUGGAUUAAAUCCUGAAGCUGUUUGAUGAUGCUUGUGAGCAACAAGUUGAUCCAAAGCUGGAAGACAAAGGCUCCAAUUUAAAGGAUAAAGUUAUCUCUGAAACCUCGAAAUUCAUACAUUAUCAAAUUCCACAGCAUCAUAGAGUAGAAUUUUUAGAAAGGAUCAGGAAAACUAAAAAAAAAUCCAGCAACACCUUCAUCUAGUAUGAUAGCUCAUGGACAUGAUCUGCAUAAUGUUAUUCCACCUGGAACACAAUAUCAUGAACAUUGGUCCAUUGAAGGCAAAAUUGAAGGGAUGAAGGAGUGCUAUCAUGAAGAAGGUCAUGAUUUUGAACAAGAUUGGAUACAACAUCUAUGGAAUAUUCAUGAUUUUGAAGAACCCAUACAAUACCACCAGCACAACAGAUACAAGGUACCAUAAUAAAAUAUUGCCACUGACCAUCAGCAAAACCAGUACAAGCCACAACAAUUCCAGAGAAAAUUUGUUCAUCAGCAACAAGAAGGAAAUCAACAACCUAGGAAUUUUCAAAAGCUAGAAGCACAAUACAACCAACAAUUACAGUUCAAUCACAGAGCAGUAGCCAGAGGACCCAAAUUGAAUUUUCCUGAAUUCAAUGGUAAAGAUAUUUAGGGGUGGAUAAGAAAAGCUAAGAAAUAUUUUGAGUUGAUAGAAGUUCCUAGUGACGACAGAGUUCAAAUUGCAGUACUUUGUAAGGCUGAAUUCUGGUGGAGGGGCAUAGGCUGCAACGCAAGCACCCUAUCUUGGUAUCAAUUCUGUAGAAUGGCAACAGACAGAUUUAAUGUAAUCUCUGAAUAUGAAAUUGUUGGUCAAUUUCACAAUCUGAAGCAAGUGGGGUCUAUAGUGGACUAUGUGGAUAGGUUUGAAGAGAUGGUGAAUACGGUGAAAAGACACAAUCCAUCUUUGUCCGACAAUUACUUUCUUAGCAGUUUCAUUUCUAGUCUAAAAGAUCAAAUCCAGUAUCACCUGCAAUGUCAUAGACCAACUGCUCUAUCCCAAGCUUAUUGGUAUGCCAAGAGAUUGGAACAAGCAACUCCAAUCUUCAAAAAGUACAACAAUUAUGUACCACAACAAAAGAUGCAAAAGCCAUAGGUAAAAGACAAAGAGACUCCAAAUCCUUCGUCAGCUGAAUUGAAAGCUCCUGGCAAGUGCUUCAAAUGUAGGGAGCCUUGAGUUCCUGAUCAUGCAAAAACAUUUAAAGGCAAACAAAUCUACUCAGUUAUAUUGGUGGAAAAUGAUGAUGGGCAAGAAGAAGUAGCUAUUGUGGAAGAUGCUAAUUAGAUAGAUGAAAUGAUCUACAAGACACUAAAACAAUGGCAACUUACCAAAUUUCCAUGUAAGCAUUGACUGUAACACUUUCUAACUCAAGUACAUUCACAUUGAAGUUGCAGAUUGGCUCAACAACAACAACUAGUGGACAAUGGCAGUGAUGCUUCUUUCAUUAGCUCUAAAUUUGCUGUCAAGGCUCAAUGUGACAUUAGAGAAGUAGGAGUUAAGGUAGCUAAAGCACAUGGCAAGGAGAUGCUUAGUGCAACAGCUUGUAUAAACUGCCCAUACUUGAUCUAGGGUCAUGAGUUCAUUCAAACUUCAGAUUAUUGGAACUCAAAGGAUAUGAUAUAAUAUUAGGGGCAGACUGGAUUUAUACACACAGUACAAUUGGCUUAGACCUCAGAAGAAGAGAGUUCUCUAUACCAAAGUAUGGAAAUUCCUUAGUAACAUUUCCUGAUGAAACAUUUUAGAAUAGCAGUCAAGUAAUUAGCACAAAAAAACUCUGUCAAUUACUAAAGAAGAGAGCUAUUGGAGCAGUUAUAAUCUUGAACAAUUUUGGCAAUGAGACAACAAGUUUUCAAUCUGAUAUUCCAAUUGAAGUCUCACAACUACUAGCUGAAUAUGCUGAUGUAUUUCAAGAGCCUGAUCAACUUCCACCAUGCAGAUAUGUAGAUCAUUCUAUCCCUUUACUGCAAGAAACAAAGCCAAUCAAUCAGAGACCAUACAGAUUACCUUAUCACCAGAAAAAUGCUAUGGAAGAACUCAUCAAGCAACUCUUGCAUGCUAAUAUGAUACAACCUAGUGUAAGUCUAUAUUCAUCUCCAAUAAUUCUACUAAAGAAAAAAGAUAGUACUUGGAGGCUCCAUGUGGAUUAUACAUAAUUGAACUCCAAUACAGUGAAAAACAAGUACCCUAUCCCAAUCAUAGAAGAUCUGUUGGAUGAAUUAUUUGGUGCUAAAGUAUUCCCAAAAAUUAAUUUGAGGUUUGGCUAUCAUCAUAUUGGGAUGAAACAUGAGGAUAUUCAGAAAACAAUAUUUACAACUCACUUAGGCCAUUUUGAGUAUGUUGUGAUGCCUUUUGGUCUAACAAAUGCUCCUGCAACAUUCCAAACACUGAUGAACACAAUACUAGCUGAAUUCUUGAGAAAAUUUGCUUUGGUAUUCUUUGAUGAUAUUCUGAUCUAUAGCAUAUCUGAUUCUGAUCAUGUGAACCAUCUUAGAACAAUUCUGCAAGUUUUAAGGGAGAAUAAGCUGUAUGCAAAAAUGAGCAAAUGUUCUUUUGCACAAACUGAGAUUGAGUACUUGACGCAUGUUAUAAGUGAAAGAGGAGUUGCAACCUACCCAACUAAAAUUUCAAUCAUUCAGAACUGGUCAGCUCCAACUACUGUAACUGAAUUGAGAGCAUUUAUAGGCCUAGCUGGAUAUUAUAGGAGGUUCAUAAAGGGUUAUGGCAUAAUCUGCAUACCACUAUUCAAUGCUCUUAAAAAGGAUGCCUUUCAAUAUGGUGAACAACAAGAACAAACUUUCUCACAAAUUAAGCAGAUCAUGUCUACACCACCUGUUCUGGCUCUGCCUGAUUUUACUCAACCAUUUGUACUAGAGGCAGAUGCAAGUGGUAUUGGUACUGGUGCAGUGUUGAUGCAAAAUGGAAGACCAAUUUCAUUCUUAAGUAGAACACUUGGUACAAAAACAGCUGCUUCUUCAACUUAUGAAAAAGAAGCAAUGGCAAUUUUAGAAGCUUUGAAGAAGUGAAAAUAUUAUUGUGCCAGUACAUCUAUGGUGAUUAGAACUGAUCAGUGGAGCCUAAAGUACAUUCAAGAUCAGAGAUUGGUAGAAGAAAUUCAACACAAACUACUAGUCAAGUUGUUGGACUUUAACUACAAAGUUGAGUAAAAAAAGGCAGAGAGAAUAAAGCAACAGAUGCUCUAUCUAGAGCAACUCAUUCUCAAGAAGUUAUGGCCAUCUCAGCUAUAACUCCUACUUGGAUGGAACAAGUAAUCACAAGUUAUGAACAUAUGAACAAGACCCCAAGUGCCUAGAAUUAUUGAUCAAAUUGAGCAUUGACCCUCAAGCAGUACCAAACUAUUUAUUACAAAAUGGCAUUACAAGGUAUAAGGGCAAAUUGAUGAUAGGAGACAAUACUCAGCUCAAGUCUCAACUGCUAGAUAGUUUUCAUAAAUCUGCAUUUGGUGGACAUUCUGGUGAAAGGGCCACUCAAAAAAGAAUACAACUUAUCUUCUACUGGCUAAACAUGCAGUAGCAAAUCAAGCAAUAUGUCAAGAAUUAUCUGAUUUGCCAGAAAAACAAGGCUGAAUAUACACCAUAUCCUGGAUUGUUGGGUCCUUUACCAAUCCCCAAUUCAACCUGGACACAUGUCUCAAUGGACUUUAUUGAAGGCCUCCCUAAAUAUGAAGGGAAGGAUGUUAUCUUAGUUGUGGUGGAUAGACUAUCCAAAUAUUCACACUUCAUUGCUCUCAGCCACCCGUAUACAGCUCAAGAUGUGAUCAACCUAUACAUGGACAAUGUCUUUAAGUUGCAUGACCUCCCAAAAGUGAUAGUGACAGAUAGAGACCCAAUCUUCACAAGCUCAAUUUGGCAAGCAUUAUUCAAGAGCUUAAAAGUGGAACUUCAUCUGUCCUCUGCAUACCACCCACAAACUAAUGGUCAGACUAAAAGGGUUAAUUAGUGCCUUGAGAAUUAUCUAAGAUGCAUGUGUUUCAAUAGCCUAAGAAGAUGGUUUCAUUGGCUGUCACUUGCUGAAUGGUGGUACAACACAUCCUAUCACACUUCAUUGAAUAUGACCCCAUUUCAGGCCUUGUAUGGUUCACCACCACAGAUAGCAGAAGAUGUGAUCCCUGACUGCCCUAACAUCAGUGCUCAAGAACAGUUGAGGAAUAGACAAGUUGCCAUCCAAGUAAUCAAAGACAACUUAUCUAAAGCUCAGGCAAGAAUCAAACAUCAAGCUGAUAAACAUAGAACUGACAGAGAAUUCUCCAUUGGUGACAUGGUUUAUCUCACGAUCCAACUUUAUCGCCACACAUCUUUGAGUGCUCACAAAUGUCUGAAAUUGCAUUCUAAAUUCUAUGGUCCAUUCAGAGUACUUGCUCGAAUUGGUAAGUCAGCUUACAAACUGCUACUACCUGAGGGAUGCCAUCUACAUGACACAUUCCAUGUAUUGACUGAAACAACAUCUAGGGCCUGAAGCGGUGCCAAGCAAAGAAUUGCCACUAAUUGAUGCUAAAGGAACAAUCAAAGUUGCCCCUGCACAUAUACUUGAGAGGCGGAUGAUCCCAAGGAACAACGAGCCAGUAGUUCAGUGGCUCAUUCAUUGGGUUAAUCUAGCAGAUCUAAAGCUACUUGGGAGGAUGCCAAUUUCAUCCGCAAAGUCUUCCCUUCAUUCCAUCCUUGAGGACAAGGAUCUUAAGGAGGGGGUAUUGUCAGGGUGAGCAAUGACAUAGCCAUUCAGUUUCGUCAGGCAAGAAACAUGAUAAGUCUGCAAGGCUCGUAACGCUUCGCCAAUUUCAACAAGCAUCGCCCGAUCUGUAUCCGACGACCGCCAUCAAAACCGUCGCUAUUAUCUUCUUCCUUUGUAUUAUCAGACGCUAAAUAGUAGUUUCUUUCAACUUAAACUGUGUUUACUUUAACCGACCAAGCAUCGCCCGAUCUGUAUCCGACGACCGUCAUCAAAACCGUCGCUAUUAUCUUCUUCCUUUGUAUUAUCAGAUGCUAAAUAGUAGUUUCUUUCAAUUUAAACUGUGUUUACUUUAACCGACCAAGCCAUUGCUAUUUAGGCUGAUCAGCGGGUCUGCAAGGGCAUCAAAAAAAACUUUUAUCUGAGCCCUAGUAGUUGGUAGAGUAGUUAGUAGAACUUCACCGUCUCCCUCGCAGCUGCUGUAUUGGAUUCCUCCCUGUUCAUUGAUUCCGUAAAGUUCUUGCUACUCUAUCCGUCGAUUACCUUAUCUAAGUUCUGUGUUUUGGUUCAAUCCCAACUCGAUUCCUUUUUGGUUUGCCAAGUUCUUGACAUUGUAUCCCCCCUCUGCCCUCUCCCUUUCACGGUGAGCGGCGCGGAGUCUCCGUACGUGCGCUCGUCGAGUCGCGCGGCCAUGUGGCCCGCCCCCUCCGUAUGUGCACGCUGCCGUCAGCACCGGCUCUGGGUUGGUGGCGUCACGCGCUGGCUCGCCGAGGAGAUUUGAUUUACAGCUCGCCUCCUUGGUCUCAGCAUGUUUGUCCAGCGCGAAUACUGCCAGCCUGCCACCGAAUAUGAGCCGCAAAGCGGGGCUGCAGUGGCUAGAAAACAUAUCUUAAAUUUUUAUAUGUAUUAUUAAAUGGAGAAAGCUUGCAUCCAGCACGUACUCCUGCUGACCAAUAAAGUCUGAGAGCUGUCUCAAAGCUGUGGAUGUUUGUGAUUCCCCCUAUUCAUUUUACGAAAAGAGUUGUACCUUUUUUCCUGCUCGAAAAUGUUACAGAAAUUUUCACCUAAAAUGGCAGUCCCAUUAAAGCUGUGGUUUGGGAGUUGGGAUAUGGGGAGGAAUCCAUCUAGAUUUACAGGUUGCACUAAAUGAAUGCCAACACCCCCCAGAUAUAUCAUAUGUAUCACACAGACUGACUGAACAGCGAACACAUCUUCACUGUUGGCAGUUAGCGGUCCUGUGACAGAAGUCUGUCCUCAAGGACAGCCGGGCCAAUUCAGUGAAAGAAUGUCAGGGUCUCUCAGAUUCCCAUGUGCAAACACCUUGGGCUCUUUCACCUAUAGAAAAUGUGCAGGCAUAGAGGACGUGAGUAAAUUCUUGACAUAAGAGGAAAUUAUAUGAUGGCGGUUGUAGUUGCUACAAGAUACCAAAUUUAGCUACUAAAUUUGAUGAGCUAGUUUUUUUUCCAUACCAGGUAAAGUGGGGGAAUUUGGUGCUGAAGUUUUACUCUGGAGAAUCCAUCCACAGCAAACAAGCAUUUGUACCCACUAAUGGAGUGGUGUUCACUGUUUCAUAUAUACGAGAUAAGAGAUAGACCAUUAAAGCAUCAAAUAUAUGAAAAGCACAGAAGUUGCUGGGAGCAUCCAAAAAUUUGUCAGGUGCCCAAAAUGGCUGAAUGGUCGAUUUAACAAACUAUUAAACUCACUUCAGUAGAUAGGUGAAAUUCCUUUCCUGAAAUUCUUCAAUGGAAAUUUGUUCCUCCUUAGAAUAUCUGCCACAAAACAAAAGAUUGAUUAUGCAAAAACAAAAUUGUGUGAGAACUUUGAUGUAAAGGGAAGGAGACCAUAAUCGAUUAAUGUGGUCGUUGGAUUGCUUGAGCCACAUGGUUGUUUAUAUAAUAGUACAUGGCUUGGAGGGCAAGGAGCCUCUCCUAGAGAUAUGAAGGUCAUCACGAGAUUACAAUCAAUACCAAAGUAAUCCUAUGUACGUAAUCACAGCAGGGGCAUCACAUAUAGUGAGAUUGGAGAAGACCCUGCAAUCAUAACAUUCAAUGUGCCAGUGAUGUUGUGGCUGGAGUGGAAGCCAACGAGGUUGCUCAAGCGCCUUGUAGCUCUUGGUGCUGAUAUUGAGGUAGUUGAAAGUGAGGGUGAGUAGAUGUGGUCAGGAUGUUGUGUCUAGGAUGACCGUGUCGACGUAGCCUAAUUGGGGUUGAUGUUGUUGAGGUAGCACCAUACCACACAUGAAGCAGUGGGUGCAAGAGGAAGCGCCAUGGAGACGUGUUGAGGCAAAUGGCGACGCAAAGCUGAAUGGUAUGACGCGAAUGAUCCUACACAAGGCUGAAUGAUUCAUAUGUCGCGGCGGCGGUGCUCAAAGAAGACGGCGAAGAACUGAGACGUCAUGCGGGUGGCACACACAACGACAUGUAGUCAAUGGUAUCAAAUGGCAUGUCGUUGGUGGCAUGAAGAUGCAACAGUAGGAGCCCUUGGCGAUGUCGGCGCACCUCAAAGGGCAUGACGGUAGUCGCUAGCUAUGACUAGGAGUAGUGUGCUACUACCCAAAGAGGCGAUGCAACGGCCGCCUUUGCACCCGCAGAUGAUGUGUGCAAGAGCCUGGAUGGAUUGCACGCAAUCGGAUGAUCAGACCAUAGGCAUGAGAGGCAAGGAUGAUAGCGAGAAUGACUCGGCAUGAUCGAUGACGUCAUCCUACACCGAGUGUCGUGAGGACAGUGGCAAGGGUAUGGUGCGUCAUGUUAAGGUCAUGCCAAAGAGGAUAAGGUCGUGUAGCCUGACGCAUCAAAGAUUUGCAAGUGAUUUGGUGGUGUCCCAAUAGGUGUUGGUGAUGAUGAGCCAGUGAGAAAAACCAUACGAACACUGACUUCGAGGGUGUCCCCUGGAGUGCCGCAAACCCGACCAUGCCGCACAGGUGAUGAUGAGGAAGAGGCUGGUGUAGUCGAUGCUGUUGUCAGAGUAGGAGCACGUGAGGACAACACAUGGCGGUCGACACAUUCAAAGCUUAGAUCGGGAAAAACAAAAGAAGCGCCGAUCAAUCGACCGGUGAGAAAGAAACGAAAGAAACAUGGAUCAACAGAUCAAAAAAAAAAACUCUUCCAACCCUUGGUGCAGGCACUGCCCCUGACGGAAAUCAUUAGGCGAUAGAUGGAAACUAAUUUUAUGCUAUCAUAACAACCGGAUCCUUAUCCAUAUUCUCUAACAUAAAGUGAUGAAAGCUCAGAAUUGGUGGUAUCAAAAUUUAAGAAGGAUCAAAGGAAUGUACAGUAAUCAACGAACAUGACAAUAAAGACAGAUGCGUCACCAAUUCCCCAUUCACCCCUAAUAGAAGACCAACGCAAAAGUAAUCAGCGGUUCAGUGCUUCCGAAUAUAAAAUUAGUAUGCAAAUGUUUCCAGAUAACACAAUACAAUUAAAAAUGUCUAAGAAACAAAUACAUCUUAACUAUGAGUCCAGCUCAAUGUUCAACCUCUUUAUAAUUAAAGAUGGCAGUGUUCGACUUAGGGCUAUGCUGUGGCAAAAAUACUAACACCUAUUGUCUGUCUAUGAGGCUAUGAAAUUCUGUACCUGACUUCACAACAUCAUAAUAAUUGUCCAGAUAGAUUCCAGAGUGUAAAUCAAACUGGACUAUCGCAGAAAGUAUACACUCAAUAAAAGUUGGGAAAACUGUAUGCUGGACCAUAUAAGGCAGACGUAUCGUGUAGGGAUAUCUCGUGAGACUCGAGGUAUAUUUUGCCAAAUAUAGUGAAAGUGUGGUUGGCAAAGAAAGGUAAGACCAAAAGCAUGCUAGUCAGGGAGUAGCAAAGAGACAUGCCUGAUUCAGUAUUCCAAUAACCGCAUCCUACAACGACCACUACUGAGAAUACUCAUAAAACUAAUGGGACUUAAAAGUUUAGCCUGAUGGUCCUAAAUAGAAGUACAGAAAUAAAAGAUUAAUGGAAUCAAUAAUAAAAGAAGUGUUUUCUUGAUAAGAACCAACAGCGAACUAACUUUGUAAUAUAGGAGCAUACCUCCACGGAUAUUCGCUUUCGCAGAAACGAGAAACCCCACUCAUCGCGGUGAAGGCAUCAAUAUGUACCAUCUUUUCCUUCACUGAAGAAUCUGGUAACAGAGGAAUGCAAAGAUCAAUGGCUAGUGGUAUCUGCCAACAAAGGACCCUAUUGUCCAAAACUCCACAGACCCCAUAACCGUAGUAAAGGCCAUUAAGAGUAUACAUCUGCUCGAUUUGUUAUUCUGUGCUUUUAGUUUAUUCAAACUUAAGUUUCAUUCUUAAUAAAUAGAGGUACCUAUACCUUAACUGUAGUUUGACUAGAGGACACAAGAAUAGUUUCAUGUAUUCCAAUUUAGUCAUAUAGCCCUCACCUGCUUCAUGUAGAGCCUUUAGAGCAUAGCCACCAGGAUAAUUGUUGUAGGAUGCCAUAAAAGUCACAGCAGAGUAUCCUAGACUACAGGAACCAUACAUGAGUUAUCGAUGCUAAAUAGAUCCUAUUCCAAAAACAGUUACAAAUUAUAAAUUUAUAAUCAAUUAAGGCAGAAUUAUUCUACCUGACAAGAAAGGCACCAAGCAUGAGAAUAUAGAGUAAAUUCCACCCAGCUUUCUUUCGGUUAUUAUAUCUGGAAAUGAUGAAGAAAAACAAAUAUUAGUGCUCUGACACUUGAACGUCAAGGAUUUUCAUAAAGGAGGUAGAAAAUUGAUGCUAACAUUCCCAGCUUGAAUUGGUCAUUGUUGAAAUGGUAUGAAAUAGAUAAGAUAGUUGCUCACAGUCUGCUAGCUGCUAGUGAAGCGGACACAUUAAACAUGGGAAUUGAGCCGAUUAUGAAACGAAGUUCCUGAAACAUAAAAGAUAUUAACCAUUAUGUGCAAUAUCGGCCAAGUGGAUUUCAGAUAUAUGAAUCAGACUAUUAUCCAGAGAUGAAGAAUUACCUUAUGUGGAAGUUUUGAAUAGAGUACAACAAAUAAGAAGACCGGAAGCAUGUAUGGUACUAUCCUUCUAUCAAGAAGGGCACCAACCUGAAAGUGAACUAUAAGGCUUCAUCAGAUACAUAUCUGGUAAAAAUCAACCAAAAAAUACAUCGGUAAAUCAGCAAUGCCCUAACAAUACCUGAAAUGUCAACUAGCUAGUUCAUCAACAUUUAGAAAUAAAUAAUUGCUUUUAUGAAUCCAAUGCAAUGCCAACCAAAGCUAAGAAAGUACCAUCUGUUUAAACAUGGUUAAAUGUAAUAAAUACUUGGGCAACCCUUAGAACAUUAAUCCCUUACAAUUUCAAAGUAUCUUGAAGUAAAAUUGGAAAUGGAAAAUAUGGCUUUUAUCAUUAUAAUCCUUUAGGUUGUAUACCUACAUGGUGACAUCAAAUCUGAAAGAAGAAAAGUACCUAGUGUCACGAAAAAAGGCGUGCAAAUAUUUUAGAAACACUAUGCUCUAAGGUCACUUAAAAUGCAAACAACAGAUCGUAUGAUAGUUCUAACCAGAUAAAAAUCUGUCUUACCAUGCAAAGAGGGUACGCCACAAGCAUGGAGCGUGGAAGUGCUGAGGUAAAGUACCAAUGAAUUGAAUGGGUCUUAGCUUAAGUCAAGGAGAACAUCAGUGCCAGUGGGAUAGUACAAAGGUUCCCCGGUACAAAUCUAACAACAAGGGAAUAACAUUUGAACAAGACUUGGGUGUUAUGUUUCAUUUGUAAAUGUACAUUGAAUAAAUUGAAUGGAACGUUCAGCCCAGAGAGAAAAGUAACAUAAUGGAAGAGAAUAACAGAUUAGAUAUUUGGGAGAGGAAAGAAAUAUAAGUAUAGUUUCACAAAAGCAGAGAGGAUACGCCCCAUUCUGAACUUCGAUUCAGAACUGAAUUAAACCAGAGAACUUCAAAUUCUGGCCACAGGAUUCGACGCCACAUUAUAGAGUCAAUUAGCACCGUAAAUCCUGAAACAUUAUUCAUAGUGAAGCCAACAUUUUCUUAAAUGUUUGUGUGGCAAAUCCAUAACAGAAUACACAAGGUAACACAAAGAAACAUACCGAUGCAUAUAAGGGCAGUGCUCACACAAUAUUUUACUGCUUCCAGCAGAGAAACAGACCUGCUCUGUAAAUAGCAUAGUCAAAUCCAUAUAUUAGAGUAACUCAGCACCAACUGUACAGAAUUCAUAUAAAUAAAAACAUGAUGUAAGGAUGAUUCUUAUAGUAGCCAAGAGUAUACAUUACUAUAACAGCGUAAUAAUACUACAGCUUCAACCUCAAGAUCAUUGCAAGGUAUGGGAUAUAUGGCUAUAAGAAUGACAGAGCUUGGACAUAAAUUCUGAGGGGGCAGUCUUGAAUAUUCAUUGCUUAAGUUGGUACUUUACGAAUGGUGUCACCUUGUGCUUUUGCCCUAACUCACUGAACACAGAAUGAGAUGUGCUGAACGCCUUAAAACUCAAACCUGGACUUGAAGCACUAUGAGCAAAGCUGCAUCAAACUUGACUCAAACAAUCUAAACAACACAUUCAUCAGUUAAGGAGUUUUGACAUUGUUAAUGCACAUAGCCCAGUGACAUAUAAUUUGGAUUCUUGCUUUCGACAGUAUAUAUAAGAACAAGAAACUGGUAAUCUUUACAACUAGAUCAGAUACUGCUGGUUCAGGAUACAAAUUAAAAAACACCAAGAUCUUUCAGAAGACACCUUGAAUCAUUCCUCCUGUAUUUUCUGAGGGUUGGACCUUUGAGUAUGGUCAAGGGCAAUUCAUAUCCAUACCAUCUAAGCAUUCCCCAAAGAUCAGGACUAGAGUUCUGUUUCUACUAUUUAACGGUGGUUCCAACCAGGUUCACUUCAAGGCAAACUAAAUACUUUCAAACCGGCAAUUGCAAAAUGAGUAUUUUCGAAGGACAUUUUAGGAAUCUAGAUUUUAAACAUAUUGAACCCCUAAACAAAAUUUUCUGGACAGAAUCACCAAUUCCUGUAUAAUAAAGUAAUUAACUAAAAAAUACAUUGAAAUAAGGUAAAACUGUAGAAACAUGCAAACUAUGUGAUGAAAUAAAAUAGGUUUGAACGUCUGGUAGGCCAGGGACUCACCAAUAAAAGUGCAAGCCCUAUUGGGCCAAGAAGAAGAAUUAUAUCACAUCUAAAAAUGAUCGCUGCAGCAAUCUGCAAGAAAAUGAGAAUUACACUGUCAUGUGCAGCCCAUUAGGGCCCAUGAGAUGGAGCAGCCCCAACCCAUUGAAGGCCUGGUGCACUGUUCACCGCGUGGUUAUGUUCACAGCAGCCCUAGGAUUAGAUUUGUUAUUUAGAGAUAAGAUUAGAUUGAGUUGGUUCCUUAAUUCUAGAGAUUGGUUUCUUAGAAGUCAAGGCACCCCAUCUAUAUAAGGAUGGGAUUGUAACUCUUUGAGUUAGGCAAAGAAAUAGUUCCUAUCCUCCUCUCUAUCCCUGCCCUUGUGGUGCGGCCGCCGGGCAUUGGCAUGGUCGCGCCACUUGGGUUCAGGGCCAUCUAAAGUAUGCCCAUGACAUACACAUAGUUUGAUAUAAUUUAAUUGCAUAAAAAGCUUCAAUCCUUUGUUUCCCUGAUACUUGGUGCUGAAACUAAGAACUAUAACUCAAUUUGGUGCUGAAACUUGCAAUUGGUGCAAUCAUGCCAUAUCCAGAAUUUUAGAUUGAUUUUACUUAUUCUUUGUGUGCACCAACUCAAAUUUUGAGAAACAAGAAUCCAUGGUAAUGUUGGGACAAACUGGUCUUUAGGAAAAUGUGAAGACAACAAAAUUCAAAUUCAAAGAGCAUAUUUAAGGUAAGGCAUACCAGGGCUUGUAAUGUACAAAGGUUGCUUCCAUUAAACCAUAAAGAGUAUGCCAAGUUGACUGCAUGACAUAGACCAUAGAAGAGUCACAUUUUCUUUUAGCAAACUCCUAAUUAGAUUUUCAUUGUUGCCAAAACCUUGACAGAAACAGAUUUCUGAUUUGUUUCUACAGUGUGCCGCGUGCUUACCUAAAGCUAAAGCAAAGAUAUUUGGAAGCGGACGACUUGAGUAGAACAGCAAGUGAAACUGGAUAGCAGUUAGUAUCACAAAGAACACUUCAGCUUGAUGACCAAACUUCUUUUUCACCUGCUUGUUAGAAGUAAGCAAACCGAACUGAACCAUGAUCUCCAAUUACAGAAAAACAGGAAAUCAAGUAUAAGCUCUUAAAUAAAAAAGUUACCACAAUGGAUACAACCAUCUAAUCAAAACAAUGCAUGCCAUAAUGAUAUCUGCUACGAUCCAAGAAAAAAAAAACAGGCUAGGAUUUUAAAGAAGACCAAUGUAUUGCUGUGCGAUGCUCCAGAUAAGUGAACCGUGCAUUAACAGCACAUCAUCCACUAGUGAACCGCUAUACAAAUCUUAAGUAAAUUUGUUUCAUGGUAUUAAAAGUCUGCAUAUACUAUAUUCAAAUCUUACAAGGAAUUCCAUUACUAAUCUUUAAUUCUUGAUCAUCUUUCUGCGAGCUGGUUGCAUGCCUGGCAUUAUUUAUGUAUUAUUCAUUUCAGUAAAUCGUUACGUUUUCAGAAUAUCAAACAACAGAAAGCAGCUAGCAGUAAAGCACUGACAGCAUCAAGAGUCAGAUAUAGUGAGAGAUGGGAGAAAAAUACCUGAACUCGAAGAAGUCUCAAACUCAACAAGGUAACAAAACUCAAUAGUAAUCGAACUACAAAAGUAAAUAGGAAAAAAAAAGUCAGUCUACAAGAAACUGCUUCCAUGACAAGUUAUACAUGAAAUAGAAUAAACAUCCACGGAAGAUAUGUACUUGAUCACCUGUAAGAAGACUAUAAAACUUUGGAACAUGAAGUAAACGCAUUACAAAGACUGCUGGUGAUGAGAAAAUAGAGAUAACAAAUGCUCCUGAAAAUAUAGAUGGUAGGCUAUAUGAAUCAAUAGUCCAAGCAUUAAUCAUUUGAGGAAAUAUUGUUUCUUUCUGCACAAAUCACGAGUUUCAUGCCAACAUGAACUUUACCUAUAAACGUUCGAGGAACAACUCCAGGAAAUUCUAAAUGAUCAUACUGCACAAAACCACAAAAAAUACAUGUAAAAAUCAAAUAAUAAAUAGCGCGGAUAUUAAACUACAGCAAAAUUUGGAUAGUUGCUAGCAUCAGUAUUACCUUCUUAAUGUGAUAAGUGUGAUAGAGAAUAUCAUGCAUGGCCUACAAAAUAAAUGAAUCAUGUAACUAGCUUGACCACAGGAAAUGCAUGGCAGUAAAAUUGCACCCUCAAACCAUAGGCAAGGUAAGCAUAUUCUAUCAGAUGAAGGUGGAAAAUGUAAGAAUCAUGUACAGCUAAACUUAAUUUGCAACUAAAGUCUUCUAAGUUACAGGACACAUGGCUGCGUAAAAGAAACAUAAAUUGGCAUUUGAUAAUGGGAAACACUAGACAUUUCCACAGCAUAUGUGGACAGUUGCAUUCCAACAAACAUACAACUCCUUUUACCAACUAAAUGCUUAUAUUCAAAGUCAUUUCAAUGAAUGUCUGCAUUUUCUUUCAUGCCACUGCCUUAAAUCAUCAAGAUCAUUAGCAAUAAUUGCUCUAAAAAUCCUCAUGUGCAACCCGCGGUAGUAAAUAAAACCAUUUCGAUCCAUCGGGGUUAAUUCAUACCAUCUAAAGUUCACCCUCCCACCAGCAAGCAACACAUACUACAAAAGCUUCUGGGCCUGAAGAAAUUAGCAAUCAUUCAUCCCCGAGUGUCUGAGGUGCCUAAUUAGCAGUGAACAAAACUACUUGCACAGAACAUCCGCAGAAAUUGGGAACUCCCUACUGCUCGCGGGAUGAAUAGCAGCACCCCCAUAAUUAGGUUUAGGGGUUAAGCAGCCCGACAAGUCAGGGUGGGCAGGGAUGAGCCGGCGAGGCAGCGGCACGGGUGCAACUGCUUUUGCGUCGAGUAUGAGGCACGCCGGGCGGGGCGGAGCAGGUCGCCGGCCACCAGAGAAUGAGAAGACGGGUAUGCAGUCAAUCCAGGACACUAUACUAAUGCAGCAACAUACUGCGACCAAAUUCCGAUGGGGGGCGAGGCAAACAAGGAGGGAGCAGAGGAUGGAACCUGCACGUUGAAGCUCUCCUCCACCUUGGUGUAGGGCGCCAUGACGGCGUAGAACGCGGCGAUCGAUCCGAGCAUGAGGUCCCAGCCCCACCCUGCGAGGCAGCCGCCGCUGCCGCUGCUCGCAGCGGCGGCCUUGGGUCGGGCCAUGGGCGGGAGCGGGAGCGGAGCGAAGUUUCGACUGAGAAACGGCGGGCGCAGGAGCAGGAUCCGGCACUCCGGCAGCGAACCGGCGGCGUUGUCUCGGCGGCGUCGCGUGCGCGGAGGAUUUCGUGGCAGGCCGUGUUGGGCUACUUUUGUUAGGCCUAGCCCAGCAUAAGUAAACGGCCCAGACACUAGUGGUGCUCUUUUUUCUCGACAACACACAAAGAAUAAGGAAAAGCCCCGGCCAUGUGCUAUCGGGCCGCAUUCGCUGACGGGCGGGCCUAAACAAUAGAAAAGCAGGUAAGAAACAAGACAAGCGCACGUACAAAAAAUGAGUGACGGAGCAAAAUGAUAAUUACUCGAGUAAUCAUUAGGAAUCCCGAAACACAAAAGACACUCACUGGUAGUAGUAUUGUUGCAGCAACAAUGGUUCGAGAAGUUUAAACUCAACUCAUUGCUGAAGGGGAUCCUAUACUGAACUCGAGCGUCUUUGGCCUCCAUUUUAUUUGACCAGUAGUCAUACAGACCCCACAGCACAAGACCGAUGUUUCCUUUUGUGCCGGGGUGUGCCUUAGGGGGUGUUUGGAUACGAGGUGCUAAACUUUAACAGUGUCACAUCGGAUGUUCGGAUGCUAAUUAGGAGAACUAAACAUGAGCUAAUUAUAAAAUUAAUUGCAGAACCCUGUGCUAAUUCGCGAGACGAAUCUAUUAAGCCUAAUUAAUCCACCAUUAGCAAAUGGUUACUGUAGCACCACAUUGUCAAAUCAUGGACUAAUUAGGUUUAAUAGAUUCGUCUCGCGAAUUACACUCCAACUGUGCAAUUAGUUUUAUAAUUAGUCUUUAUUUAAUACUUCUAAUUAGUAUCCAAACAUCCGAUGUGAUGGGUGUUAAACUUUAAUAUGUUGAAGCCAAACAGGCCCUUACUCUCGCAAUUUGAGAAUUACGAUGUUUCUUCCCUAACUCUAGUAUAUGAGAAGUUAGGGAUUCUCAAGGAAUAUACACCGGUGGAAAAGUGAGUAUUAAUUCCGAUUGGAGAAACGCAUAAGUCUUGAAAAUCCAACCGAGACUAAUCUGUCGAGACUAAAGGCUCCCAUCUUUAAUUCCGAGCAUGUACGAACUAACAUAGCUUAUUAACCGAGAAGGUUAAGUCAGGUCGUGUAAGAGUAAGGUAUUGCAAGGCGCCUAAUAUGCUCCUGUACUAUGCGCUAUCCUUAGAACUCAAUAAUUUUACUUCAAAACUUGAGAGCAAAUGUAAGCAAAUCAGUGAGGAGACACAAUGAUUUAUUCCACCGAAGUUUAGAUUCACCUCAGGCGAAUCCUACAUCUCCGUUGGGUGCCUCCAAAGAAGUUGGGUUGCACUCAACCCUUUUUCCACUUCACUAGUUAGCUUCUUCCCUUUCAGAGGCGAAGCUCGACCUGCACAAACUGUCCCGUAGCUCACCACACCUUGGGAGCUCUUGGGCGACGCCUAGCUGUCUAGGAGAAACACCUUCAAGAGUAAUAAAUACUUCACUUGAAACUUGACAAAGCAAACCAUUGCUCAAGCGUAUGAGUGCUCUUCUAGUGCUUCCAAAUGGCUCCUCUCUACAACCCAACUCACAAGAUCUAGCAAAAAUCACACCACCUCACAAAGAGGGGUUGGGGAGAGCUAUUUGGCUUUAGUUCAGCUUAGAAUAGGCAGCCAGCAACUACAAAAACAGCAACUAGCCACUGAGGGGGUCGUGGGGUAUAAAUACUCCACCCCUCAAAAAAUAGCCGUCAGUGACAUGUGGCACCCAAAACUGGAACCUCCUGUUUCCAAAAUAGGAGCUUCCGAUUUUGUCAAUGCCUGGCUCGACAGAGUGUACGUGUGGCUUUUGUGUCUCUCAUCCCUCACAUAAGAUACUUGAGCACUGAGACUUUAUCAAAGAUCAUGUGAUGCAUCCCUCUUAAUAGUACGGCACACCUAUACUCAAGAUCAAAAUAUAAAUACAAUAUUUAUCCUCUUGAGCUUCAUUACCAUGAACCAUGCUAUACUUUUUUAAUAUGUCCACCUGAGAGCUGCAUCCGACUUUGUCUCUUUGAUUUGAGCACUUCAACUUUGAACUAGAGACUUUAAUCAAUAUUCAACCACUUAUGAAUGAAAACUAAUUUUAGAUCACAUCUCAUUUCUUCAUAUGACUCUAUAAAUAUUUGAUGCAUCCCAUAGCUAUACUCAGUAAGGCUUGACUUGAUACCUCAAAAUCCUCCAAGCACUACCCGCUUCACCCUGCCCAAGUCACCGCUUGACCAAACUUUGCUUAUCACCUUGGUGCUAAUCACUUGCUUGAUUCCUCCAUCCAAUCGCUGAUGCAUUGAGUCUAGCUUUAUCUUAUCAUCAAGAACGAAAUCCUCUUGAGACCAUAUCUUCUUUUGAUUUCUAUAUCUCAUUUGUUCAUAACAUGCUUCUCAUUUUAUUUAGAGGCCAACUGAUAUCCUAAUGCCAUUAUGCCUCUAUCUUUACUUCAAUUUGCUUGUCACAUAUCACACAUACCCAUCAUGGGAGUCACAUAAUAUUCCUUAUUAUGACAUUCAUCAUUAACUCAAGCAAUUUUGCAAUAUGAGGUUAUCAACCAAGCCUGAGUUUUCUUUUACACCAUUACUUGCUUAGAUGAAUAAUGUCAUAUACCAUACUUGUUCUUUUCAUUAUAUGAGCCAUUUAAAACAAUCUUUCCCACAAAGAUUAUUCAUCAAUAGCAUUAUACCUGCUUAUAGACUUAACAAGUUCAUUAGACCUUUAAUCACAAUGUCAUUCAACUCACCGAAACCCACUAGGAGCCUAAAUGCUCUUUCAAGGGAUCUAAUCAUUUCAUGUUGCUUACAUUCUUUUUUGUGCCAACGCAUCAAAUUUGCAUGUGCCUUGUUUCUAAACAAAUGCUUCAAGGGUGGUACUACAGGAAAAUACCACAUUACCUUCGUAUGAACUUUCUUCUUGCUGGCCUGCCCCUCAACAUCGCCGGGAUCAUCUCACUUGAUCUUAUAACGCAGUGCUUCGCACACAGAACAAGCUUCAAAUUUCUCGUAUUUCUCACCGUGAUAGAGGAUACAAUCAUUAGGACAUGCAUGUAUCUUAUGUACCUCCAAACCUAGAUGGCAAACAACCUUUUUCGUUUCGUAUGUUGAGAACGGCAAUUCGUUUCCCUCGGGAAGCAUUUUGUUUAUGAUUUUCAUACUCAUGAAAACUCAUAUUAAAAAUUUCAUUUUUUUACCUUCCAUUACAGCAUUUCCAGUGUGGUACCCAACUUUUUGUGCCCCUGUUUGCAAUCUGGGUACAAUAAUUUCUUAUGACCAUCUAACAUACGCUCAAAUUUUUUUUACUCCUUCACAUUCUUGUAGUCUUCUUUACAUCUCGCACCACCUGACCUAGAUCAUCGGUACGACCUUCUUCUUCAACCAUCUCUUCUUCAGCCUCGCCCGUUGCAGCAUCUAUAAAGGUACCUUAUUGAAUCCAGUCAGUAAUGUAGUUAUCAUCUUUUUCAUUAUCAUCUUCUAUCAUAACUCCUCUUUUCCCGAGCUUGUUCCAAAUGAAUAGUUAGGCAUGAAUCCCGAACUGUAUAUAUACGCAUGAAUAGUCUUUGUGUAUGAGUAAUCGUUCUCAUUUUUGCAAAUUCAGUAUGGACAAGAAAUGAAACCAGAGGGCGACUUGUUGAACUCUGCCACAUCGAGAAAAACCACGCAAGCCGUUAAUGUACUCUAUGGAGCGUUUAUCCACGUUGUACAUCCAUUGCCGAUCCAUUUAUAAAGUAUUACCGAACCAAAGAUAUUCUGAUCAUCCACAAAAUUAUACAUGAAACAUAACAAACAUGAUACAAAUUUCAUUAAACUCAAAUGUUGCUGAAAAUUUAGAUAGAAUUACACAAAUUUAAAUUUCAGACCCAAACAACAUGAUACACUACAAUAAACCAUCCACUGAGUACUAUCUAUGAGGAUUUUAAACAUCCUUGGAUGGUGAAGAUGAAGGUUUCACUGACCCAGCCUCAUCUUAUGAUUUAUUUUUACUUCCUACGAUGGUAGUACUCAGUGGACCUGAAAUUCCCGAAACCGGUGGUGGAGCAUAACGACCACCAAAAGGAUAUUCCUGACCCACCGCAACAGCAUCUUCAUGACAUCUUUCCAAAUAACAAAGCAUUGCUCUCUCCCACGUGCUCUUUUUCUUCGACUUAUCAUAAAAGCCAACUAUGAUUUUCCCCAUGCCGCGAGAGAAACGACGAUCACCUCCACCAUCGCCACUAUCUCCAACAGCAGUAGCCAUCUCUAUGUACCACAAUUUAUUUAGCUCAUAUUUGCAAAUGACUAAACUAUGCACAUUAUAUUUUUUUCCACAAUUAUUAAGCUCAAACAUAACAUAUAAAUAAAAAAUUUCUCCAUUGCAGUUUAUUCUCAAAAUGACUAAUUACAUACCUCUAUUUCAUCUUAUUAUCUCUAUGUACCACAAUUUAUCUCGCUCAUAUUUGCAAAUAACUAAAAUGCGAACAAAUUAUAUUUUUCCCCAUAAUUUAUUUAGCUCAUAUUUGUAAAGCACUAAACUAUGAAAUUAUUCCUCUAACCUCAUAUCAAUUUCUUUGACAAAUACAAAACAUAGUAUCCAAAAAAUUAUAGCUUAUUCUAAAAAUCACAAAUAUGAGCUCUAAAUAAUACAUGCAUAUAAAUAAAAUUUUUCUCUAUUGUACCUUAUUCUAAAAAUCACGAAUUACUUCUAAAACAUAAAACUUAGUAUACUAACUAUGUAUCAAGGGAGGAUGAAGUUUCUAACCUUUAGAACACUUGAAUAAGUGAAAUCCCCACGAAAUGGUCAAAAAUCCGGCAACACCUCCCCUAUUUUGCAUGAAUGGAUAAAGUCCAAGCUAAAGGAAAUGGCUCGGGCAGGAGGAGGAAGACGCAUGAUUUAUAGGAGGAAAGUUAGUACUGGUUGGGGCUCCUACUGUCAAUGUUUUAUAACCGGCAACCUACUGAGGGGUAUUCCGAGUUAGUAGAUUAGUUGGUGGGGAUCGCCAGACUUGGGACGUGAAGGUAAAAGUGAGGACAUAAGGCGUAGAUUUAUACAGGUUCAUGCCACCAGAGUACUGUAAUCCCUACGUCCUACUUGGGUGUUGUAUAUUGCGCCCUGCGUUUUAAUUUUGUUUGGUGUUGAUAAUUUGAUCCUCUAUUUGGGUGUUGUUUGGUGUUGAGGAUUUAGUCCUCUAUUAUGGUUCUAAUAGGUCUUGACUUACCGAUCCAGGGACCCCUACCCUCCUUUAUAUACUCCAGAGGUGGAAUUACUAGUCGGUUUUCUUACCCUCCUUUAUAUACUCCAGAGGUGGAAUUACUAGUCGGUUUAUAUACUCCAGAGGUGGAAUUACUAGUCGGUUUUCUUACCCUCCUUUAUAUACUCCAGAGGUGGAAUUACUAGUCGUUUUUCUUUAUAUACUUCAGGAGGCGGGUCUUUAUAUACUUCAGGAGGUGGGAUUUCUAGUUGGUUACAAGGUACGAGUCCUAGUAGGAUUAUAGGGGAAUCCUAACAGAAGUCUAUCUUCUUCCUUCCUCCUUGCACGUACUAAGGAUCUAUCCCCGACGACCGACGAUCCUCAGGCACACUAGUACCGGUGGAGGCUCCACUCGAUACUAGUAGAAGCUCCAUCCGAUACUAAUAGGUAAACUCCACCCGAUAUUAAUAGGUAAUCUUUAGUACCGGUUGAAGCUCACAACCGAUGUUAAAGGAGUCACGAGGAACCACCCAAUACUAAUGGAUGACCUUUAGUACCGGUUGAAACCCCAAACCGAUACUAAAAGAGAUACUAGCCGUCAGACCUAGUACCAAGUAAAAAAAAUAACCUUACCAACUGGUACUAAGGACCAACUGGGUACUACCUGAUACAGGUCAAAAACUAAUAAAAACUAACCUGUACUGGAGGAGAUACUAGAGGAUAGGACCCAUGCCCAGUUUCCCGUAGUAUGGCCUCACUUUCUGUGCCUCACGUGCAUGGCAGCCAUGUCUAAAGCAGGCACGCGUACCGUUCUAACAGCAUCAGAUGUUCUGACGCAAUCAUGCAUGUAACCAAAGUCACCAGUAGAAUAGGAUCGAUGGAACCUCGCAGCAACAUCUUGGUGCAUCGUCCAAAUAUCACAGCAUUAGUUGCUGCAUGCUAUUAUCUUCAUCAGAUGCACAGGCACAAGAACAUUUAACCUGCUUAUGCAUCAGCAUUUAACCUCGCUCGUGUGAUCGAUCUCUAGAGCGAGGUGAAGGCGCAGCUGCCGGUGUGGUCGCCGGCGCCGUCGGCGUCGUCGCUGCAGGGGGUGUGGGUGUGGCGGCCCUCGUAGGUGGUGAUCACCAUGCGGCAGUCCUCCGACAGCCGCUCCACCCGCUUCUUCACGCGGCAGUUGCUGUGGGUGCACCGGUAGUAGCUCCUGCGCGCAUUCAAAUAACAUAAAGGGUUCGUCAGCGAACUGAGAUCACAAAUUAUGGAUGUUUAUCAAAAUUUUGAUCUAAAAGUAGCACAUGUAUAUAUAUUGUAUGAAAAAUUAGAUGAAGAGAACUUGAGGCCUUUCAGCAUGCAUAUAUAUACAAAGCAUAUUGUCAAACUGUUAUAAGCCUUUUUUGUUCGAAUUUAGUGCCAGCCUCUUAGUAAAUCCAAAAUUCGCGCAUGCAGCUGGUAUGGAAACGGCUGAGAUAUAUCUUGUUCACCCGUUACCAGUUUACCACCAAAAAUAUGUUCGCUAGCAUAAUUCACCAUGUCCGGGGCAUAAUGGAAAACAAUGCUAAGUGGUCAGUUUGAGACCCACAUGUGCUUUGGUCCUCAAUCAUAUGCAUGAAGAACUCUGAAAAUUAAGUUUAAUUCUUUCCGCGUGAUAAAUUUCCAAACCAGAUCGAAUCUAUUUGCCAGGGAGCUCCAAUGUGUAUACUAGCCCAUGAGCAGUUUCACUGACUUUUGAUCGCCGUUGUAGAAACUGACUUUUUGAUCGCCGUUGUAGAUGCGCAGGAAUUUUGGACUAUUCUGGCAUUAUUCAAAAGCAUUCUCAACACAUAGACAAAACAUGAACAGGCCGGCAAAAGAAAACACUAGCUUACGAAUGAGAUAAGUAGCCGGCCUGAACCAAAUUUCAAAGAUGCUACGGGCCAACGAUCAUAUGGACAGGCCGGCUUGCCUUUCCUACGGCGCAUUGAGAGUGUCUGAGAAGAAACAUCCUUCUGUGAAAAUGUGGGCACCAUUUGGCAUUUGCCCCAGCGCAUCCAUACGCACUGCUUCAUGUGCAUGCGUGUGUCCUAUUGUUGCAGAUCAUGAAUGAUGAUGGGUUUUACUAGAGCAUGUCGUGGAUGAUGCAUGAUCAGAACUUAGACCUAGCAGGUGGAAAAGAUCUCUUUACACAUUCUUGAAACUGAUAUUAAUUUGAGACUCCAGCAACAUGCGUCAAUCGUUUCAAUUUGUAGUAUUGCAUGGCCUGACUCUUGUUUUCUUUUCGAAAUAGGUUCCGUAGUGUGACUUGCAGCAACAUCUUUUUUCUGAUAUGUGCUUAGGCGAAAUGAAUUAAUGAAAAACACUUAUCUAACCAAUAUAGCAUAGCUGCCUUUACCUGUAUGCACCAAGUGUCCCAAUGUCAUAGUACAAAUAAAAGAUGAUCAAAUCUCUAGGCGUAAAGUUAUUUAAUUAUCAUAGACCGAUGGCAACUUUAUCUGAAAUAUUCAUGUUAAUAUGUUGCACGUGUCACUUAAAAACUUCUAAACUAUUUUUUUCUCAUGCAAAUACACAUUCAAAAAAGCAAGCCGUGAAGCACACCUAAAAUACACCAGAUUGGAUGAUCGUCUUCAAGCAGUAUAUAUUCCUUAUGAUGGUGUCAUAAUUUUAUUAGCAGCCCUCCCACUAAGAAGCUAGGAGCUAAUGGACAAUAGAUCAUCACUGCCAUGUUCACCGAAGCACAAGGCAGAGAAAAUCCACACGAUCACUCUCAGUAAUCUGCAGUCUAAGGCUUUCUGAUCUAUUUCUCUUUUGUUUCUUUUCUUUUUUGAGUCUCUAAAAUAUGAAAUGCAAGACAUUAUUUCCAUAUGGAAUUAUAAAAUUAUUUACAAUAAUAAAUCAAGCAAUAAAUUUUCAUAUGGCCAAUCUUAAAAUUGUAAAUAUGUUGUAUGGUCAUAUUUAGAAAUUUGAUUCAUAAAAUGGAUCUCAAGCCAAGUCUUUGGUUCAUUUUAUUCCAAUCUUCAUUGUUUCACUGAUACCAAAAAUUGUGAAAAUAUCACUGAUAUAAUGAGAGAACUCAACUAGCAGACAGUAAUCCACCGAAAAAUGCUGACUCCGCAACCUACUAUGACAUACUAAUUAGUUCACUCGUAUGGUCGGUAUCAUGUACUAGUUCAGGAGUAUGAUUCAUUCAUUGUUUCGCAAGCAAGCAUAUGGUUUCUCUUUUUUUUUUCAGGUAAAGCAAGUAUAUGAUUUCUGACAUCUAAAAACAAGAUCAGGCAUGAGGUGGAAGAGCACCCUCACGCUCCUGAACUAGAGUUUAGAUUGCUUGCGUGGAAAGCGAUAGAUUUAGUAAAUCGACAUGAAUUUUGUGGAGAACAUCUCACUUUUUCCAUAGCACCGCCACCGGCGGUAAACAUUCACGCUCCAAACCCAAACAUGGCAUUAGGGUUAGCAUUCAUUUCCGCCAUUGUGUAUAUGAAUGCAUCACGAGAUAUGGAGUACUACCUUGGAUGGAGGCUGUUCUUGACAACCUUCUGGCCGUACUUCCUCCACUUGUAGCCGUCGUCCAGCACAUCCACGUCGCUCCUGGUCUGGAAGCAGAACCUCGGCUCCCUCAUCUUCCUCCUCACCUUCAUCCGCCCUUUCUCCCCCGCCGCCGCCGCCGAGCCCUUCCACCUGCUCAUCACCCCAUCAUAUAAGCGAUCCCAAUCAGUUCAGCGCGUGCGAAAUCUCCACCGCCCCGGGGACCAAGAAACCCUAACGGGAUGGUCAACCACAUAAAAGUACUACUCGCAGAUGCAAUCAAUCAUACGUACCAUGAACUUGACCCGUGCAAAUUGGUGGCGGUGGUGGUGCUAGCGAUCUCGCCGGCGGCUUUCGCCGCUGAGGUGCCCGCCGCCUGCGAAAACCAAGAUUACAAGGAUCAAAGGACAACCCAUCAUUUAAUCAACAGGGCGCACGCGCGUCGCAUCACUCACCUCGCCGGCGUCCAGCACCACGAAACUAGCGGGCUUCUCGCCGGCGCCGGCGCCAGAGCUGCAGAACGGGAUCCCAGGAAGAAGCAGCGGGUAGAGGCCGCCGUGGUGGUGGUCGUCCGAAGAGAGCAUCACACCAUGGGUCCCGCCCUGCUCCUGGAACAACGGCAUCUGCAGAAGCUUGUGCUGGUUCGGCAGCGGAGCAAGAGGAGAAGGGGGAGGGACGGCGCGUGGGCUGAAGAGGCUAGGAAGGCAGGUCUCGAACUGGCUGCUCCCCUCCAUGCACGCAUAUAACAAGAUCUAUCGACCAUGCAGGCGUGGUGUGGUGGGCUGCUGGUGGUGGUGGUGAUCAAUGGGAUCCAUGGAUCAGAGUGGUCUUGGGGGCAUGAGUGAGUGAGAUGCCGAGGAAGAUUUCUGUCUUUUAGGUUAAAAAAGAAGUGGUGGACAAGCUUGGUAGCCCAGCUGGGAGCUAGGUCCGGACAGGACAGCCCCUUUAAAGAGCCUUUUGCUCAAAUGGUGGUGUGAUGGCAGUACCUGUUCCUGUAGCGGUGUUGUACGCGCUAGGCUACUGCAGUAGUGCUUGCAUGCAGAUUCAUCAUAUCUAUCUAGCACUUGCUUUUUAGGCUAGGCUUCUACCCUUUGAUGUCACAUACUCUACAAACUAACGUGUUCUUAUUGUUCGUUUUUUUCUAACCCCCAUCAUAUUUCUUGACCAUCCACAAUCAUCCCUCAGAUAUUCCCAUUUCCCAAUAUCUUUACAUCUAUUAACCCCUUGAUCUACUUCCUCCAAUCGCAAAUAUAGCUAGGUCUAUUUAGGUUUGUCCUAUAUUGAACUUUUUUAACUUUGUUUAUCGAUAUCUAAAACUUUAUAUAGGUUGAUAAUGCAAGAUUAUUGACAUUGACAGAUUUAUUGUGAAUGAUAUGCUUUCACGAUACAUAACAUUUUUCAUUUAAGAUAAUAUAUCUUUAGUCAAACUUCAGAGAAGUUUGAUAUAGGACAAACCAAAAUGGAUAUAUGUUCCUGAUAAAAGAAAGUAGUUGCUAACACAGCCACUUGCAUUAUUUGGUCCCAUUUGGUAGAGUUCCGACUCCUCCCAAAACGGCUUCAGCUCAAGCUUCUUUGAUGGAGUGGCUUCUCUAGUGGAGUUGAAGUCAUUUUGCAAAAUAUUUGGUAAAAUGGCUUCUCAAUAGUAGUAUGGGUAAUUUUAUGAUCACUUAAUGCUUGGAGAGAGAGGAGAAGCCGGAGAAGCCACUAUUUUUGGCUCCUUCUCUCUAGUGUAAGCCGUUUUGCGGCUUCUCCCCGGCUUAGAUGGUGGAGCUGUUUUGAAAUUGCCUCUUUGGUAUGACUUCACCAAAAAUCGGUGGAGAAACAAUUUGAUAAGCCCUACCAAAAGAGACCUAGAUCCCUGGCUCCAAAUGCCCCUCAUUCAGGUGGCCAGGGCAAUGAGAAAGGUAUAGGUGAAUUUGGACCCUAAGGCAACUAAUCUAUGACCGUCCUUUUUCUAUAAUACUUUGUUUGCAGUUAUAAAAUAGCGCUUUAUAAUACAAAUCCAACUAUAUCGAUCGAUUUCUGUAACUCAUAUUUCAUCUUUCAGAUGCAAUGGGGUAACCUUAAGCUCUUAGACGUUUUGAUUCUGGUAUGUGUGCUCCCUAAGUUUAAUUAGUUCUGACCUUAUAAUAGUGCAGUAUGUUCUUUCGAGUUAUCUGUUUAAUUAUUUGAUAUGAGCUGGACUCCUAGAAACACAUAGUUAAAUUGAAUGAAGUAUGCUACUAUUUUUCAUCAUAACCGCCACUCAAACUAUUGCAAGAACACCUUGCAUUGCUUGGUGGUAAAAAAAAAAAGCAUUCGCACCACGGCUUUAAAUUUAGUGCUGUUUUUCAACAGAACUUUCCCCCUACUUUUGAGAAAAAAAUCAUGAGGAGCAUGCCUUUUUUGACUGGAAGUGAGGAGCAUAUGCUACUGGAGCGCUCGAUAGGGGUACAAGAAUGCAGUGAUUGUACCUUUUGUUCCCUGCAAUUGCUCAAUAAUUGUGGGGCACUCCACCGAAAAAAAGCUUGGGCACACUCGAUCGAUGGAAAGAGAAACUCCGCCGGACCCUUUAAACAGUCCCAUAUUCCAAGUUUAGAUAUUCCAAAUUUAAAGUUAAGUUAAAAAACGCAGCUAGACUCUCUACUUAUAUCCUUAUUUAAGCUUCACCCUCCAUUCCUAGAAAGUUUAUAAGAAGCUCUCUAUUCAUAGGAGUUGUUACUAGGUUGGAAGUAUUUUUGUGACCUCAAAAAAUAGAGAAUCUCCAUUUACCCUUUGGAGCUUUGAUUGAAGGGCUAAGCCUAUAUCACAUAUGCAGCCACUCGAUCCACUCUUUUCUCUCGAAACACCUCCAUGAUAUCUACCGAUAGUAGCUAGCUACCUGCACGUGUACACACACAUGAUACAUGUGUGGAUGCAAAUGCUAUCUCAUUGUCAUUGAGAACACAAUGGCCUGGUUUGGUUCCAUUUGCUUAUAUUUAAGCAAGUGUCACAUCAAUGUUUAGAUACAGGAGUAUUAAACGUAGACUAUUUACAAAAUCCAUUACAUAAGUGGAGGCUAAACGGCGAGACGAAUCUAUUAAACCUAAUUAGUUCAUGAUUUGAUAAUAUGUUGCUACAGUAAACAUUUGCUAAUGAUGGAUUAAUUAGGCUUAAUAGGUUCAUCUCGCUGUUUAGCCUCCACUUAUGUAAUGGAUUUUGUAAAUAGCCUACGUUUAAUACUCCUAAUUAGUAUCUAAACAUUGAUGUGAUACUUACUUAAAAAUAAGCAAAGGAACCAAACGCCUCCAGUAUAAUGCAAUGCAAGAAGCAUGAUGAAUACGUACACAAAUGAAGCAUCUACGACGUGCAUGCUUUGUAGACACAGUACCAUUGGUACAGCUGACACAACGGCCCAGUUACUAUUUGUAAUGGAAUCUUUGCUGUUCAGGCGAGAAAAACAACACGGGCACACAGUGACACAGACAUGGCCAUCUUCGACGCUGCACAGGAGAGGAACCGGGCCGUGUGUGCAGCUUGCGUUCGUGCCAAUCAUAUGUCUGAAGUGGCAAGUGGGGCGUGGUCAUGCACAUAUGGUCACGCCCAUGAUACACCGAUUGAAAAAACUAGGGUUCUUCUCAUGUUGGGCAGGUGGUGGGCCUAAUACGCCAUUACCAAGAGCAGCCAUGCAUGACCAACCAGCUGAUCCACAGAUCGCAGGCUCGCCGCAGCGCGCGCGCACGCAGCAUGCAGUUGCAGCUAGCGGCAAGCACUCACGCUGGUGACCCGGUGUUUUAAUUUCCGGAGAUUAGGAUCUCAGCCGCUGAAGCAAGCUGCAGCCUGCAGGGGAUGAGAGGGUGUUAUCAUUGCAGCUGCUGCAAAAGGCCUCUUCCUACCAUCAGCCAUGCCUCCCUCGGUCCCUCCCCAUUUGGGCCACUCGUUUGUGCUUGGGUUGUGCAUGCCCAGCCGGACAGCCCUCUUGUCUCACUGUCUGUCCUUUUGCCUUGCCUCAUCUCGAUCUCUUCCUCCCCAAAUCCGAUGAAAGUUUUUUACAGGAUUGCGUUGUGAUCACAACUGGACUACUCAAUUCCGUAGAUCCUCAGAUCCAAGUGCAGUGAUGCGCGGACAGGUGAUGAAAUCAGUCAGACAGGAAGCAAUGCUUGUGAAGUGGAGUGGCGGCGCUGUAGGUUGUACAGCACAACGCAGCUCCGUUGCCAUCUGUUAUUGCAUGGCACGUUCGUCAUCCUGGAAAAUCUAGAAAGGACUACACCAGAGGCGAAGUGAAACGGGCAGUGUACGUGCUGGGUGUCUACCGCUACAGAAACAGCCUAGUACUCUGUAAAGUUUGUGCAGCAAGAAGUCAGGGAUAUGCAUGGGCAUGGGCAGCGGCAAGUAGCAGUACUUGUUCUACUAGUAGUAGCAAAAUAGCAAAGCAGUAGGUGACAGGCCAACCAAGGCAGCUUGCUAGCCUAGGUGGCUAGCGGAUAUAGCAUGCAGCGUCGUUGCGUGCAACGAGCAGUUGUUUUCUCUAUUCCUAAUGCCUAAAGUUUGGAUGUGCAAAAUUACUGUUGUAGCAUUGUAGUACACUGUAGCGUUUCGUUUAUAUUUGUGAAUUAUUAUCCAAAUAUUGACUAAUUAGACUCAAAAGAUUCGUCUCGCAAAGUACAACAAACUGUGCAAUUAGUUUUUGAUUUCGUCUACAUUUAUUACUCCAUGCAUGUACCACAGGUUUGAUGUAAUGGGAAUUUUUUUUUCAUAGUGUCAAAAUUGGGAGUUUUGGAACUUUAGUACUGAUAUCGGAUGUUUAAUACUAAUUAGGAGUAUUAAAUAUAGUCUAAUUACAAAACUACUUGCAUAGAUGGAGUCUAAUUCGCGAGGCGAAUCUAUUAAACCUAAUUAGUCCAUGAUUUGACAAUGUGGUGCUACAGUAACCAUUUGCUAAUGAUGGAUUAAUUAGGCUUAAUAGAUUCGUCUCGCGAAUUAGUAUAGGAGUUCUGCAGUUAGUUUUAUGAUUAACUCAUGUUUAAUCUUCGUUGAAUAUCCGAUGUGACCCUUAGCCCUUAGCCACACUUUUCAUCCAUCUGGCCGGGCCUAGCCGCCUAGUCGUCGUUGCGUUCAGAGUCAUGGUCAUCUUACCCUCCUGGCGGCAAAAUGGCCAUCAUUGCUCAGAUAGACACGGCACCGGUGCCGUUUGCCCCGGAGGAGGGCACCAAAGGACUUGCAUAUGAUCCACGCCAUGCAUGUCUGCCUGCCCCCCGUAGAUAAGCCGGUCCUACACAAGAAAAGAAGGACGUGUGCAGAAAAGUUGCUUGGAGUUGCCACUACCCCUCUUCUUUUUGUUUAUAUAAGUUUGUUUCGUUAUGAUAAAACUUAAAUAAAAAUAUUCUAUUAAUACAUAAUUUUGUUGUACGAACUUGAUGUCCUUACAUUCGUUUUUAUUGUAAUAAAAUAAUUGCUGAUCAAAGCUUUGUCAUACAUCUUAGAAAGACAGAAAAUACUACAUGUAUAAUCACUUUAGUAAAAAGUAAAAUUUAAAUAUUUAAAUCAAUUGUGUAGACUGUUAUAAAUGUCAUGCUUCAAUCGUACUCAAACGGGUUGUAUGUCAAACAUUUAUGUUCUAAGAAAGAGACAUGAGCUCUACCCAAAUUGAACCUCUCAGUGGUUGCAACGCCGCGCCAUGGGACAAGACCACCUAAUUCUUGGGUGAAAAUCCUUGUUCAUUUCUGAAAAUUAUAGAUGAAGCAAAUGGUUGCUGGAUGGUUUGGCUUGUUGGUUUUCAAAUGGUUAAUUUUCCUUAGAUGCUUAGUGUUAAGUAUUUUUUUUAAAAAAUUUCUAGUUCAUGCAAUUUUGCUCUUCAGGGUAGGUUUGUGGGUUGCAUCUUUGUGUUGUAAAACAAGUAUUUGUUCUUAAUGAAAUGUUUAUUUGGACAAUUUCUCAGAGGAAAAAAAGCAUUAUCAAAAGGGGCUAACUGUCAUAUGCCGCCCUAUCAAGGGAACGUACGGUCUUUGCUUUAGUUUCUCCAUUAUCGGGUGCUACGAUCGUCGUCUCGCCUGAUGCUGAUGGCCUGAUGCGCACGAUAACCUCUGACCGGAAUCAUGAGCCAUUCGAAUACCUCCAAAUCGAUUUUCCAGGUUCCACCGCUCGUUUGUUCACACUCUCGACCGGCCUAGAGGUCAGACUAUCAUGACGCGCCCCCAUCUCAUCCACCUGACCAUCUCUCUCUCUUAUGAUGGUGAUUUGGCCCUUUGGCUCCUUGCCGGCUCCCUUUUCUCACCACCGUGCAGUGGCAUCGCCUGGGACUGGAGAACGAGCUCAGACGUGCGUUCAGCGUUCGAGUCUCGGCCCACGAAAUGGUUGCUCCUCCGGUCCUCCCACCUAGCUCGAUCGAGCAAACCGCUAGAUUGUCUGCUGUCAUCGUCCCUACGGUUCGCAUUUUGCGACCGCAGCAAGAGACCGGGGCGAUUGCCUCCCAUCUCACCUGUUCAGUUCUCCUUGGAACGGGAUAGCGACCGAUCCGUGCAGUGCCGCCGUGCACGCAGCACGCACAGGUGGUGGCCUUCUCUGUACAGUACUACGGCGAUGUGGGCGCCGCGGUCGCAGGCUUUCGGCGCCCCCACCACCACGGUCGCGGCCUGGCAGGAACAGCAUCAUUUUCACCCGCACGCACACCACAAGUACUGCGUUUGCCGCCCGCUUCCCCCCGACACGCGCCCACGGCAAACGCGGCCUGCCCCGUCCUGACGUGCGCGCGCGCGCCCCCUCUCGCUCCUCGCUGGGCACCGCCACCGCGACGGCACGCGCCGGCCGGCCGGCCGGUCGCUCCCGCCGCAUUGUCAAAUCAGGCGGGGCGCGCGAGAGGCUCAUGCGCCCGUGCCCACGCGUGCCGCCAUGCAGCCCGCGGCCGGCCAGCUCCAAACGCCCGCCGCCCUCCGGUCGCGCGGCAUCACUGCAUUAGCGUGUGGCUCGGGGUCGGGGGAUUCUUCUUGUUGUGUCCAAGCCGUCGCGGGGUCACAGAAAAGGCUUCCAGUUCCAGACGUCGCUGUCCAUCCCAUCGACGCAAGUACGAUACGCCUAUAAUAAUACUAUAUUGGCCUAGGUUUAUUCCAUUUGUGACACGAUCAUAGGUAGGUAGCGGUAGGCCGUAGGUGUUUGAUCCGCUUCGUACUCACACCGCGUGUACCCCCGAGGCAAGAGCCUGAGCCCUGCUGGCCUGCUCGGUGCUCGCAGGCUGCACUGCACGCAUCGGGAAGAGAAAGAAAGAGGGGCUCACAGUCUCGUACUGUCGUACAGGCCAGGAUGACGGAAGAAAAUCCAGCACCCUAGAUUUCUCAUCAUGGUAUGCCACUCGUGCCAGUGCUAGCGCACAUGUACUUAGGGCAUGCAGUAGGCUCCUCCCUUCGAGCCUAACCUAACGAAACUCCAUUCGUCAGGGUCUCCGGUUAAACUCUAUAUUUAGCUUUAUGAUCAGUAACAAAAAAUAUAUCUUAAAUUGAUAACCCAGUGUUAAUAUUACUUAAAUUCGUUAUUGAACAUACUGUGCAGCUAUUUUGAAAAAUUGCCGAGCUGCCUCGUAGCCUACCUUUGGUAGCGGCGGGCACAGUGCGACGGGGAGCGUGACAUCUAAUCUGAUCGCCGCCUGUCUGUCAUCAGCUGGACUCGAGAUGGCCCUUCUGAUGUGAUCGCAGGAUCCCAUCCGAUCUUUGAUGCCUGGACGCCGGGAUCGAGCCCCAAUCCCCAUCCGCUGAUGUGAGUAUUUUAUCCAUUCUCCCUUCGCAUUGUCGCCUCCUCACUGGCAAGGUGCGCUUUGUCAUUGCCCCGAAAGCAAGCGAAGAUCAGGCCAGCGUAUACUGAUUGAUCCCUCUGAUGAGACGGCUCCGACUGGACGAGAGUAGUUUACCUAGCCCACUGAGAGUUCUGAUUAAAGAGAUGGAAGCUCAAGCGUCGAGCUCCUUGGACGCAUGCUUGCUGUGGCUGGAAAGGAGAACGGAAGAGUUGAGAGCUAGAAAUUCUGGAAUCCUUAACAAGGUUGCGCUGCAGUCCCCUUCUCUGUGUUUUCUCUUCUGACGAGAGGACUGCAGUUCCAAAAAGUUGGUCCGAUCACAACAAGCCGAUCGAGUGAUCAGGACCGACCCAAUAAGGCUAUUGGGCCGAAAUCAACAAGGCAUGUACGGGUACGUUUUGGGCUCCAUCCAAGAUACCCAACCCAACUCAACUGACUAUUGGAAUUUUUAUAUUUUUAUAUUUUAGUAUUUUGCAAAAAUAUAUGGCUAAAUAAAAAAAUUGCAAAUUAUAUACCUAUACCGCCUUUUGAAACAGCGGAAGGUGUACUUGUAGCAAGCUACCGCCAGUUGAACCGGCGGUAAGCCCCCUCCUCUAGCAGUACACAUUCAAAAAAUUAUAACUAAUUCAUAUGAACUUGGAUAGAGAUAAAAUUUUAUAUGAUAAUUGUAGAUCUCGACGAGAUCUACAACUUUGUAUUUCAAACUUUUUUCAUUUGAUAUCAUCUUGGUGCUCAAAUAAUCGACACACACAUUUCAGAUCUAAAAUUUAAUUUUAGAUCUGAAACUUGUGUCGAUUAUUUGAGCACAAAGAUGAUACCAAAUGAAAAAAGUUUGAACUAUAAAGUUGUAAAUCUCAUUGAGAGCUAUAAUUUUUAUAUAAAACUUAUCUCUAUCCGAGUUCAUAUGAAUUAGUUAUGAUUUUUUUAAAUGUGUGCUGCCCAGUUUCAGAUCUAAAAUUUGAAUUUUAGAUCUGAAACUUGUGUCGAUUAUUUGAACACCAAGAUGACACCAAAUGAAAAAAGUUUGAAUGAAAAAGUUUAUCUCAAUCUGAGUUCAUAUGAAUUAGUUAUUAUUUUUUGAAAGUGUACUGUCCAGAGGAGGGAACUUACUGCCGGUUCAACCGACGGUAGCUUGCUUAUAGAUUUGCAAUUUUUUUGUUAGGCCAUAUAUUUUUGCAAAAUACUAAAAUAAAAAAAAUAUGAAAAUAAAAAAAAUCUGACUAUUGGGUCAGGAACACUCUUAGCUCGGCCUUUUUCAAGAAAGCAACCAGAUUGCAACGAAACCAUCUCAGACAAACUUUACACGAUUCUCUCUUGUUUACAGAAUUACAGCUGCGAAUUGACAUUCUAGUCACAAGUUGUUAGCGGAGAGUUAGGAUGAGAGCCCCCCACCCUCCUCUGCCACCCCGCUGCCUGCCGGCGGCGGCGGCAGCCCCUACCUACCUCCGCAGACCUUCUCCUGAAAAACAAACCCCCCAGUCGCUACGCCCCCCAUCCUCAGCCAUCCCGCAUUCAAAAAGCACCUCGGAAAAGUUCUUCAGUAUCUCCCCACCACCACCUCCCCGGGGAGGCUGGCCGUCGCUGCUCGACGAAGAUUGGGUACCGGAAUCGCCAGAUCUGCAGGCCAAUUCGCCAGAUCUGUGGCUCCCUUUGCAAGAUCUGAGGCCUGCCAGCCUGAAUCCCCCUCUGGCCAAACGGGAUGCUAUGCUGUCCUAUGCGGAGGUCGUCACACGUGGACAAUUCAUUUCCCCCACCGGCCCAACCUUCCCGCGAAGCCGUGAAGACGGAUGUACUCUAGCCCGCGUGAGAAGGAGUAACUCCGAUGACAUGAUGGCUCCACGGCGCAUUCAAGACCUAGCGACGUCAACGGCACGACAAGCCGGGCCCUGACGACACACGGAGCUACACCACCUAGCGCCAACAACACCUCAACACCCUCCAAUGCGCCCGGAAUGGCAGCCAGUGAGGCGCCGCAAGAUGCAGCAGCGUGCGCCGCCCGAGAAGCUGUGACGGGACGGCGGAAGUGACCAGCUCUACAAAAGCACUUGAAGGAGGCCACCAACCAAGGUGUUACUCGCCUUCAAGCGCGUGACCGCGGGACGCUGUUUCCGGUGCCUCGCUUCAGACCACCUCGCAUCUGUGUGCCGCGACCCCGUGCGCUGCUUCUGGUGCCGCCGUUUCGGCCACAGAGAACGCGCCUGCAGGGCGGCACGGUCACCAGCUGCGCAGGCACCUGCCUCCUCACAAAACCAAGCUCCCACGAGACGCAGGCCGGCCCUUGGCACCACGUCGCCAAUCACCCGACGACGACCACCCGCAGCGCCACGCACCACAGCUCCUGCCAGUUGCCGGCCGACCGCCAACGAGCCGUCCAUUGCCCGACGUCCACCCCCCACAGCACCACGCCAUACUGCCCUCGCCGGCCGCAGGCCGCUACAGCAUUCCAAUCCUACCGAUCGUCCUCCACCCACUGAGCCAUCACCGAGAAAGCAACCCCCGCCACCACCGCAGAGAUCGAAAAGAACCUCCUUAACCACAGCCAGCAUGGCCAUAGGGGAUCCUCACACGCAGCUAGAAGUGGAAACAGUGUUCGUCUCCAGCUCCUUCCACCUCGAGCAUGACGCGCGGGAUUGGGAGGCCUGCGCGCUCGUCCCAUGGGCGCUGCACCUGCCGCCGGAUGCAGGAGCUCGGGACAUCACCAACCUCAUUACCAGAGAGCUCCGCCUGCAGCCCGGUGAUGUCACCGUCACGCUACAUCAGCCGGAGCCCUACCUCGUCCGGUUCGAGCACGCGGCACAUGCUGCGGAGGCGUGCCGCCGCGGACGCUUCAUUGGAGGGGGCAUCGACAUUUGCCUCCGCACAUGGUGCAGCCUCACGCACGCCCUCGGCUUUCGCAUCUUCUAGAGGGUGCGCCUUUGCCUCGACGGUAUCCCGUCCCACGCUUGGACGCCGGAAAUCAUCGAGAGAGUCGUCGGCCACAAGUGCGCUCUGCAACACAUCGUCACCAACCUCAUCCAACCGGCAGACUCCAGGCACAUUGAUCUUUGGGCAUGGACGGUGGACCCGAGCGAGAUCCCUAAGAAGGUCUGGCUCGCCUUCACGCACAGUCCGGCGACCAUGUCCUCUGCUUUCUCUGUCUCGCCUUCACGCUCGCCACGACCCGCAGGAGGACAGCGACCACACCAAGCGUCGGGUGGCCAGACAACCCUGCAACGACCGUGCUUUUGUCUGGCCAUCCCGCCAUGGGGACGACAACGACGACGAUGGCCAUAGCGACUACGACCAUCCUGGGCAUGGGUGUAAGUACGGCGAUGCCUACUGGGGCUGCUCGGACGUGGUGCGUCGCGAUCGCACAAGAUCCCCCCACGCCGCAACUAUGCGCCCCCGCAAGGGGCGACACCAUGAUGCUGGUGAACAGGGGCUAAGCAAUUUAGCUCCGACACAGCUCCAAGCCUUGUUCGUGACACAAGCCAAUGCGUUGAAGAACUACAUGCACGAGAAGGUAAUAACGGCAACGGCAACGGCUACGACUAACCACCUCAUUUUGGAUGCUAGGAAGCAAUACUGGAAAAUUGGCGCUGACGAAUACAUUCGCAAAGCUUGCUGGCUUGCCGACCGCCUCGGCAUCGACGAUGCCACGCCCGGGGAAAAGGCCUAGUCCGACCCGGUCCCUCUGCCGCAAGUGUUCAACACUCUGCGGGCGGCGCUACUCCCGGCUCCAUCGGCGGUGCCGCCGACGGUCGCAGACGUUGAUCGGGCGCUCGACUGCAUGUCCAUCGGCGCGGCCGAGGAAGCCACAGGCGCCCAGCGGAAAGAUGAGCAUGCGCAGGCAGCAACCCUCCCUAGAGGCCUGCAGGCCACGUGCAUGGCCUCUGUCCAGGUGGCCAGGAGCAUGGCCCAAGCUGAGGAGAAGGAGCCAGAACGGGCAGCCUGAGCAAGCGCGGUGGUUGGGCUGCACUGGGCUGUUGGUGGCGCGGUGCCAGCUAGGCUGUGGAAGGCCCACCAAACGCAAUCACAUGGAUCGAGUCCAAUAGAGACCACGACUGGUGCUGGGCCAAGUGGCGCCAGCUGGGGUUGGCCUGCUGCCGCACGACAACCAGCUCACCAGGCCCACGAAUGGGGUUCCCUGCCCUGAGCUGCACGCACCCACAGCCCAGCUGCUAGACACGGCUCACCUGGGAACCGUACAUAGCUGCCUAUACAGCGAACAGGUACCUAUACCUGCCGUGCCUGCCCCAAGCAUCGACGACCUCUUCCGAACUCCUCCGCUGCCAGCACUGCUGCAGCUCCCAGCGCGGCGCACGCGCCAGCGCUGCACGCGCCAGCGCCGCACUUUUGACAUGAACAAGGUGCGACGGAGUGCGCGACUGGCCAAGAAGCCUGUCAUGCCGGCCAUUGAACGAGCGCAGCGCAACCUUUGGUGGAAGCUUGGCGUCGACGACGAUGAGAUGGCGCCAAUUGAGCAGGUACUACAAGAUUGCAUUAACAUGUAUUAGCGGCCAUGACUGCUGUCUUCGACCUCGACGAUGAUGCUGCAGAGCAGAUGAACGACGCGCUUCUAUAGAUGGCGGGCGACGCUGUAGAAGAACUCCACCAUGAGCACCAUGUGGCUCCAUGAUCAUCAAGACAAUGCACCUUGCCCAUGUGUUUUACCACUGCUCCAUGUAUCGCUACAUUUAUGUACUUCCAGUGCCUCACCCUGCUGGCUGCGACCUUCGGGGAGGACUUUCCAUUAGCCCUGCUGGCUGCGACCUUUGGGCAAAACUCGCGAACUACAAACUAUGCCCCGCUAGCUAUCAACCUCGAACUUGGUUAACAACAACUCCUGCAAUAAACAACGUCAACGAACGCCACUUACGGCCCCUACGAGAUCAACGCUCUCCCCGACGCAGCAUCACCAUCAUAGCAAAUACUACUCUACCGCAAGUCGUGCAACAUGUAAGCAAGCGCAUCAAACCACACCUGGAUGAUUGGCAACUUUGAAAUAAUGUGCUGGAAUGUGAGAGGUCUAAACGCUCCAGCUAGAUGCCUAACGGUCCGAGAAACCAUUGCAACGACAACGUGCCACAUAGCGUGCCUGCAGGAAAGAAACUUCAAAAUAUUGAUGCGGCUCUAGCAAACCUCCUGGGGGACACCGAUUAAAUCAAUUCGCAUACAAACCGGCUUCAGGCACAAUGGGGGGAAUCCUCAUCCUCUGGGAUGAUAGGGUUUUCGACAUGCAGGACUUCCAAACGGGACGUUUCUCCAUUUCAGCAACAACAAUAGUAAAAUAUAGUAACAUACACUUCCGACUCAUGACAGUGUAUGGCCCAUCACGACAUUCUGCAAAGCCUGCCUUUCUGCGGCACCUACGGGCUUUUAGACCAGAUGACGACACCAAAUGGCUCGUACUGGGGGAUUUCAACCUAAUAUACAACGCAAGAGAUAAGAAUAACAACAAUCUAAACCGGCGGCUAAUGAGGAGUUUUAGAACAACGCUAAACUACUAUGGUCUAAAAGAAAUACGCUUACAAAACAGGAGGUUCACCUGGAGCAAUGCUAGGCAUCGUCCGACUCUGUCACGGCUCGACCAAGUCUUCUGCAAUGAAAAUUGGGAUCUAAAUUUCGAUGAACAUGUCCUACACGCGCUCUCCUCCUCACACUCGGAUCACCACCCUUUGCUACUGGCACAACAAUCUUGUCCUAGAAAGCCGACGCCUUUCAAAUUUGAAAACUUCUAGCCGCGCCUACCAGGAUUCUAUGAAGUGGUAACCCGAGAGUGGUCAAAGCCGAUGAUCCACACUGAGCCAUUUCACAGACUGGGGCACAAAUUGCACACCACGGCCCGAGCACUGCGAUCCUGGAGUCGAUUGCUCGUCUCAGAUGCCAAAUUAAAGAUGCACAUGGCCCAAGAAGUCAUCCUGCGCCUCGAUACGGCCGAGGAGACAAGAACACCCACAGACCCGGAAUGCUCCUUGCGAAACAAGCUCAAAAAAAGGCUCCUGGGAUGGGCGGCCCUCGAAAAAGCAAGGAAAAAACAAUGCUCCAGGAUAACCUACCUGCGCGAGGGUGACGCUAACACAAGGUUCUUCCACUUAAAGGCGAACGCUAGAAGGAGGAAAAACUUCAUCCAAAGACUAAAGAAAGAAAGCGGCUGGGCAGUAACUCAUCAGGACAAACAAAAGGUAAUCCAAGAUCAUUUCGAAAGCAUGAUAUCCGUGCCUAACAAUCGCACCAAAGACCUAAAUUGGGAGACGCUACAUUUCCUAGUGGUUGACUUAAACAGCAUCGACAACCCUUUCUCGGAUGAAGAGAUACUACAAGCAAUUGCAGAGUUGCUAAAAAAUAAAGCGCCGGGGCCGGACGGCUUCACUGGCCUAUUCUUCAAAUCGUGCUGGAACAUAAUCAAAGGUGACAUCAUAGCGGCUGUUAACGCCUUCCACAACAUUCGCUGCAAAGACCUCAAUUUCGUCAACACAGCAAACGUUGUUCUAAUCCCCAAAAAGGAGGGUGCCGAAAGCAUCAAAGACUUCAGACCAAUAAACCUCAUACAUGCUAUCGCCAAGAUCAUUAGUAAAAUAAGACUGCAGCCGUAUAUGGAAGCACUGAUAUCACCUAGCCAAAGUGCCUUCAUAAAAGGAAGAAGCAUUCAUGAAAACUUUCUGUAUGUUCGGAACAUGGAGCGUCGAUUUCACAGGAACAGAAUGCUGACACUACUAAUGAAGCUGGAUAUCUCAAAGGCUUUUGACUCCGUGCACUGGGAUUACCUACUAUCACUAAUGCAACACAGAGGCUUCCCCAGGCGAUGGCGGGACUGGAUAGCCGCGUUACUGGCCACAUCUACCUCAAAAAUUUUGCUGAACGGAUUCCCAUCUGACCCCAUCGCGCACGGACGAGGACUACGACAAGGAGGCCCGUUAUCCCCCUUCCUCUUCAUCCUCGCGAUAGACCUACUAUACCAGCUACUACAUAAGGCAAUGGAAAUGGGACUGCUCAACAAGCUGGGAGGACGUGCACCACACACCAGCAUCUCCAUGUAUACUGACGACGCGGUCAUAUUCAUAAAACUGACACAUGCGGACAUCGCGAACACUGCAAAGCUGCUGUGCCUUUUCGGGGAGGCAACUGGGCUUAAAACAAACCUUCAAAAGACAACCGUGGCUCCCAUUAGCUGUGACAACGUGGACCUCAAGGAAGUCCUCUCAGAACUGCCGGUAACACGAACAUGCUUCCCAAUAAGAUACCUCGGACUACCCCUAGCGAUAAGGCGUCUUAAGAAACUUGAUUUUCAACCUCUAAUUGACAAAGUAGCACACAAGCUAUCCGGCUGGCAUGGCCGCAACCUCAAUCAAGCAGGACGGGUUUGCCUCACCAAAGCGGUACUUUCCAUGCAACCAUUAUAUCUGCUAACGGUGAUAAAAAUGCCAAACGAAGUACUUGAGGAACUCGACAAAAUAAGGAAAAGAUUCCUAUGGGCAGGAGAAAAAACGCUCACAGGCGGUAAAUGCAAGGUCAACUGGGUCAAAUCCUGCUUACCAAAAGUAAACGGAGGAUUAGGUGUGCUCAAUCUUCACAAGUUCGCUAGAGCAUUGAGACUGUGAUGGCUUUGGCGCGAGUGGGAGUCACCACAAAAAACAUGGAUUGGAACGGAGACACCAUGCGAUGACACGGAUCACCAUUUGUUCGCAACAUGCACAACCAUCACAGUGGGGAAUGGACGCAAGACGAGCUUCUGGCACUCAACCUGGGUGCAAGGCGUCAGGCCAAGGGACAUUGCACCCAACAUAUAUGCAAUAUCCAAAGGGAAAAAAAGGAAUCUAGCAGAGGCCUUACGCGACAACAGUUGGAUCAGGGACAUAAACAUUCACGGAGGAUUGACAACUCGGCAUCUACAAGAAUUUGUAACGCUUUGGCGUCUAGCAACAGCGAUGCAGCUGCAACCGCACCAGGAAGACACAAUUCGAUGGAAGUUUACGUCCACCGGAAAGUAUUCAACGGCCUCGGCAUACAAGGCACAGUUCCUCGGAUCCACCAAAGCACCACAUUACAAAACAAUAUGGUGUUGCUGGGCGCCACCGAAGUGCAAGUUCUUCGCGUGGCUGAUCUUACAAAACCGAGUAUGGUUAGCUGAUCGACUUGCGCGAAGAGGAUGGCCUCACUCCCUUGCAUGCCCCUUAUGUCGAAGACAAAUGGAGACGGCCCAUCACCUACUGGUCGAGUGCAGAUACACCAGGAGAAUAUGGAUCCUAGUGGCGACGUGGACGACGCAGGUGAGCAUACACCCCUCAGAAUGGUGACCAACCGACAAUGUGCUGGAUUGGUGGAUAAACAUGACUACAAAAACAGAAACUCCUAGGAAGGGUGCAUGCUCCAUGACGCUACUGGUCAUAUGGGAAAUUUGGAAGGAACGGAAUAAGCGAAUAUUCAAUUGACAAGAGACGGUAGCAAUCAUACUAAUGGCCAAAAUCAAGGAGGAAGCAAGAGCAUGGAUACUAGCAGGGGCAAAGGCCUUAGCGAUUUUUUCGUCUAGAGAGUAAUCAUGUAAAAGUGUGUACCCUAUUCGGCUAGCCAACUGUAAUUCUCUACUCUAUCAAUGAAAUAGGCACUGUCUCGUACCCAUUCGUUCAAAAAAAAGAAUUACAGCUGCCGUUCUUUGGCACGAAGAUAACAGCACAUCUGUUCAAAAGAAAAGCGAGGCACCCAGCGUUGAGGCUGUUGUCAGAGUAGCUAACCAGAACACAGUCCAACAAAGCAAAUCGACAAUCCACGAUCCUAGAUCGCCCCCACACUGAGCUCGGUAUACGUGGUUCCAACGUUGCAAUUUCUUGAGGUGUAUGGGGCUGCACUAUCUGUGGAAAUGUUAGGUGUGACCGAGUUCAAUUGCUAGUGGGCGAGAAACCUGAAUGAUGGCAUGUCCUCGAUUCUCUGAAUGUCUUCGAGCAACAGCUCCCUCUCGAGCUGGCGCCGCGUAGAUUUAAUAACUGACUGCAGCGAUUGUUCGACGAUUUGGUCAGGAUAGACAGGUACUAUGUACAAAGAACGUGUUCAAGAGAUUCCAUAUUAGAAAGGAAAGGCGUACAUUGAAAUCCAUGUAAGUGGCGUGCAUGUCGAGCCAUUUCUGAUCCAUCAGCUUAAAGGUUAUACAGUAAAGAAUGUCAAAGGCUCGAUCAUUUUCUGAACAAGAAACAAAGGUCAGAUGGUCGUACCGGUAGGUAACUGUGAAAAUAUCGUUGCACUUACCCAGCUUCUAUUAAAAGCUAAUAAUACUUAUCUCUAAUUCUCUAGAGGACCUCACAGGGGUGUUAAUCAUUACGCUUAUAAUGAUGUAUGGGUUUCUAUACCUGAAAGUAAUUGCAAAUUUUUAACUGGCCCUAGUUAACUGCAGUGUGUUUCUAAGAGAAAAUGGCCGUUAGACACAACUUGGCAAGUCAGCUGAGCUCAUUGAAGUCCUCCAAAUGAUAUAAGUAUACAGCUAAAUUGAGAAGCACUGACUAUUCAGUUAAGUCGGAGCCUGAAAGGUCUUUUGGGAUAAAAGCCUAAAUUAUAUAAGUUCUGUUUCUGUAAGAUUUCAGUCCUACAUAAAUGUAACAGCACAAGAAUGACUUACCUAAAAGUAGAUUUAGGAACACUGCUCCAAUCAAUGAUGUUGGCUUAGCUGCAGCAACAUCAGUCAUUAAAUUAUGGAUUCACAUUGUUUAUGAUAAUCACCAAAACGAAUUUCACAGUUUAGAUCAACUUAAUAAGAAAUGUUGAAAAGUUUGACGGGCAAACCUGCUUGAAGAUCAAGCAUCUGAAUUAGCAUGAAUGUAAUAUUUACACCAGCCACAGCAAAGGGAUAUUCCCACAACGCUCUAUCACCAUUCUUCUUACAAAGGAGCUCCUGGAAGGAUUUCUGCAGAGAAAGUUUUGUUUUUCCUAAUUAUGAUGCAGCAUGGCUGGACAAAUAUUAGAUCUGUACAGGGCCUACAAAAUAAAUUAUCAAUCUUUUCUCUAUUUGAUGAAGUCAUCAAUGGAUCAUUGGCUGUUCAGUUGAGGCAAUAGGCAAAGAGGCAGAGUUUCAUUGAAAAUCCAAGAAGCAUGUAAACUAUGAAAGUCCUUUAGAUCCUUUCAAGCUAGAGCUUAAUGAAUUAACAACACAUCAGAAGCAUAAGCUAGCAUUGCAGAAAUGCUGAGAUGAAUGUGAACAUGCACUUGGGUCAAGUGAUUUGUACUCACUGGAUAGGUCCUAGAGAAGUACAGUAAAUUCUCCAAAGAUAUAUAACCACCACCUCUGUAAAUCCAACAGAACAUAUGAUUACACAUUUGAAAUUAAACAAGCGAAUGGUUUGCUAAACUGUACACAUUGGAAUGAAGGCAGUAAAGACCUGAAAUCUGUAGAUGGAUCUUUCCCUUGCCAUCCCAUCUCCUUCCACUGGUCUGAUACUAAUCCUAGAAGUUCAGUUCCAGGAAAAGAAGCACGCCAAAGGGCCUUCAGUGCUUUCUAAUGGAUAUAUGUGUCAGUACAUAACCAAAAUUAGAUAGAACUCAGGAAACGAGAUGGAAAUGCAUGCUCUAGAUUUCCAUGCAAAACUGAAACAUUAUUCAGAUAUCUUUAGUUCUUAGGGCACAGGACCACCAGAAACAAAUUAUUACAAACAAGGGUAACAAUUCAUAAGCAGGCAUAUGAUUGUUGUACGGUUAAAUCAACCGGCUAAUUUGAGUAGUCCCGACCUCCUUUUUCUUAAUACCUACUUGUGUCUAAUUAAAGUGAUAGAUUGAAAAGUGAAAUGUGCAAGUGGCCUCAAGCCCGUUGUAAAUAUUAGUUUUUUUUUCUUUUCCCAAAACCCAAACAUGCAUGAGAAUGCAACUGUACUGUUAGGUAGGUAUAUCAACACACGUUAUACCAGGCCAGUUGCCAUCUUGAAUUUGGAAACUAAAGCUCAUCACAGCACAUUCAACAGUAACAAAGAAAAAAAAUGUGCAUUUCAGUUAUGAUGUUUGCAUGCUUGAACUAACAAGGUUCUGAUAUCAGCUAAAGCUCAUACCUGAUGCUCUAGGUUUGAACUAUCAUACUGCACUUCUAUCCGGUUCUGCAAUCUCUGCAAGCACUCUUCCUGGAACAGAGAAUGAUCCAUUGUUAUUCCUGUAGGAAUUUUCAUUGUCCUAUGAAAUAUCAAUCAUAAAAAUAUGACAGCAACAAUACACAAUGUAAUCAGAAAAGGACACGUGUCAAAUCCAUCAAUACUACACUGACAUGACAUGAUGCUACUUCGCGUUUCUAUAUAUCUCAAAAGAAGGGUAAAAGACACCAGAAUGUAAUAUCUCAAUUCUUCUUUCUCAGAAAGAAAUCCACAAGGAAGAAAGGAUAUGUUCCUAACCCCUGCAUUGACACAUAAGUUACUACAUUAUGGAACCAUUGACGUCCCAUGACUUGGAAAGAACACAAAGUAAUCACAAAAGACCAUCCCUGUCGAAGCCAUGGAGUUACAUGACAUGGUUUUCCUGCUGCCAUGAAUCACAAUACCAAACAUGCAUUACGCUUCAAGACAGAGCUGUUUCAACAAUUGCACCAAUCAGACUCAGAAUGUUCCCCUGUAUGUUCCCAUCACCAUCGUGCUUCCGGUUAUCACAGGAACUCAUAUUUAGACCAUUUCAGGGGAGGAUUCAUCAUUCAUGUUUCAGAAUGAUCACGUAUUCACGUGCCACAAGAAAAAAUAAACAGAGAGGAGAAGAUGUUUCUAAGUUGCUAACGCCUGCGUGGAAGACGUGAUAAGCCAUUAUGGAUUUGAACGAGAAAGAAUUUUUCACCUGAAUGGGGCUCAGAUCGAAUGAGAGGCGCGCGUCGCUAUCCCUUCUCUGCGCGCAGACGCACGAGAGCCCCCUCCCGAUCCACGCCGUGGACACGCCCACGACCUCCGCUGCGGGCGCACGAACAUGGAGCGGGAAGAGAAACCAUCACCGUGUGAGCCUCUGCACCGAGACAAACCACCGCAAUCAAACGACGGGAACACGCGCGUACCCGGCGAGGAGUGGGAGUGGUGGUGGUGGACGAUGCCGGCGCCGGAGAGGCGGCGCACGGCGAGGAAGGAGCCGGCAUUCUGGUCCAUGCCGAACGAGCGCGCGCGCGCGCUGCUCUCCGCCUCCUCGACCUCGCCCUCCUCCCCCGUCUCUCUCUCUCUCUCCUCUCUCCCUUCUCCACCUACGCGCCGCGAUCCGCGCGGGAAACCAUGGAUGGCUGGGGCGGAGGGAGGCCGCGGCUCCCCAAUCCUGGCGUGCGCGAGAUCCCACGGACGGAUCGACCACGAGGGCUGUCCCCGCGCCGCGCCGCGCCGGUGGCGCCCCCCUUGUUUAGUUGGUCCGUUUGGCUGGCAACUUGGCGCUUCUCGUUUGGCUUGGCCCCGGAUGGUGGCGCGAAUUAUUGAGGUGGUCUCCCUGUUUGAGAAUUGAGACGCGAAGGGCGUUUAGUAGCUUAGAAAGCAACUUUCCUUUCCUAGACAGGCAGGUAGAAUUGAAUCUUCCAAAUGAAUGCCUUAAUAAGGUUAGCAAUGCUGUAUUUAACAGCACCAAAAGAAGACAGAAAUCUGAAUUUCACUGAAGAAUACAAUGUUCAGAGAUAAAUCAGUCUAUCAAAGAUGAAUAAAAGAUGUCAAAGAGCUUAUCAAGAUCAUCAACCUUGUCUCCCAACGGGCGAAGAUCUAGACCAACCACAGUGUGGGUUCCCAAAGACUGUCAGCAUAUUCCAGACCAAGUGGCCAAAUAUAUCAUUCAUAAUUAGUCAUUCUAUAGCUGCAGCAUAAAAUAUAUUGAUACACGUGGGAAGCAAGAUGCAUAGGCCAACGGUAAAUGAGCUUUUUUAAGCUUAUUUUCUUAUUAGUGAAACCAGAAGAUCUUCAGUUUCGAAAAAAGAACCAGAAGAUCCACAUUCUACAGUGCAACACAAAUUUACAACUUAUCUAUGAAGUACAUCAAACCUGUCAAAAAGGUUUGCUGUAAUUCAUACUCCAUAAACAUUAUUGGAUAUCGAUCCUACACUCCUAUUCAGAAACAAGAUUAAUCGAAGCAAAAAAAAAAGGUAAGUGAUUCU
rnacentral:lncRNA from 1 species